rnacentral:lncRNA from 1 species
CUCACAUUCAUUUAAUUUGAUAUAUCAAACAAAUAUUGCUAUAAAUCAAACAUUGAACUUAUAGCAAUGCAAUAUGCAGCCUGUGGAAAACAACAAAAAAACAAAACAGACAAUAAUUGGCAAUACUAACUUCUACCAAAAAAUAAAGAGAAACUUGAUCCAAAAUAUCCAUCCAUUAAAUAGCUUCAGUGCAUUAUGCAAGGGAUAAUUACACCUAGUCCAUUCGAAGCCAAAUAUCGUUGCAUCUAGAGUAAAAACAUUAACAUUUUGAAAAAAAACUGAUUGGUUUACCAAUAUAAUUCUGCAACAAAAGGGCGAAUAGAUACACAUAGCAACAAUCAUGCACCGUGUGGAAAAUUUUGAAAUCUUUUUUUGUUGUGUUGCAACAUAAAGAGUGAUCAGUGAAACAAGACUUAUCAGUGAUCACAUCUAGGUUCUGAACAUUUCUGUUCUCACGGAAUUAGUCCGAACAGUUCUGAACCUGUCCAUUUAUCCGAAGCUUGAAUGGUUCUGAAAUCUAUCGUGAUGUUUGCUUGUCCAAAGUGUUACCUGGGAAUUGGCAAAUUUGCACAGGUUGGCCAGAAAGAAGCUCUCUGUCUGCUGCAGCUCACCAUCAUCUUCCCCGAGGUCAGCAUGUUUUCGCUGUAAACCGCAGCGAGGAAGGCGGAGACCACCUGGUGCUGGAGUGAGUUCCACUCAGCUAUGUGCAGCAAACUCACUGAAAUAAAUUGUUGCAAGCCAUAGCGGAUUACUACUGCAUUGCCUCCUUCGAUCAUCAGACAAUCAGUUUCUAGCUACCUUAGCCAUAAAAAAAAAAUCAGAGUGUUGUGAAUUUACCUUAUGUGCAUGGCGUCAUCAGCAGUCCACUUGGCUCACCCUAGACAAAAGAACCUCGAAUUCAAGCAAAAGCCAUAAUUUUCACUUCAUAAUAAACUCAGUAAUUUCAAGCCUGAAGAUUAAUUGUCAUCAACAGUGAGAUCAAUGUUGGUGUCACCCAGUCACUGUCAAUAGCAACUCGGUACGGGCGUGCUUGUUAUCCAAGCUGAAGUACCUGGGGUUGCCCAGGUCAGCAAAGUACCUGGGGUUGAAGAAAAUCUUUAAAUCUUACCCAUGAUACACUCCUAAAAAGUUUCUGAAAACUGCUUGGCCCCAUCUUUAUUACAUCAUCUGUUGGAACCCUUAUUCUCUGAAGCACUUAUCUAUUCUCUGUGCUAUUUAUGUAGCUAAGAGAACAAUUCAAGUUAUGUUACAAAUGCAUUAUAGCAACUUCAAAUAAUAUAUAUGGAAUGUGCAGCUUCAAACAAGUUACAUGUUCGCUGAACUCAAGGAGCAGGUUUGUCAAACAAGAGAUGUACACCAUAUGACCAACACCUACUCUGCCUAGCGACCUGCAUAAAUAUAUUAUCAAUGUAUCAAAUUCAAGUGCAUGGUAAAGACAGAUGAGUUGGCAUAGGAAACAACCAUUUUGUGAGAAAGUAAACUUCUGUGAAGAAUAAUCAGAAAUGAUGGAAUUUAGAAGACUUAAGAGUCAAUGGCUCAAUGCCAUGAUUUUUAAUGUAUUGAAACUAUUUGUUAAACACGUCAGUUUUUAAAUUCCAUUUACAAAAGUUCAAAAUGCAUGCCUAUUACAUAGCAUGGGAUUACAAGGGGCAUAAGUAAUAAAGAUUGUAAUACUGCGAGGAAUAAAAUCAUUGUUCACACUAUUUUUCAAAUAUCUCAGGUACUUCAAUAUUUUAUUUGCAUAAAUGAAUAUUGGGCAGUAAGAAUGAAUGAAACGGUGGUCUAUAUGGAAAUUUGGCAGGUUGUGACAGUUAUCUGGGAAGAAAUUUCGCGGAGGAUAUUGUGCUGAUCCAUUCCUGUACUAAGGAACCAAAAUGGCAGUUUGUUUAACUAAAAACAAAAAUCAAAUUGGCAAGCAUUAUGUGGUUUCUCACACCUGUAUUCAUGAUAAAAUUAUCGAAUAUUUUAGCUGUAGCUGAUGUUCAACGAAAUUGGCAAGCAUGAUUAUAACCGAUGAUUCAACGAAAAAUAAUAAUUUCAAAAAAGCAAAGCACUAAUUAGGCGCUGCCUCCAGAGAGGCCCGACUGUGUGCCUCCCAUAGGGCAUCUUUAGAUUCUUUUUUUUUUAAUGGAUGCAGCUAACCGGCAGGGGGUCGCCUGCCGUGCCCCGACAAGGGGAUCUUUUCACUGCUCUUUUUUCCUUUUCAGCUGAACGGCAGGGGGAACACGCCCGGCCGUGCGCACAGAGACGAUCUUUUCGCUGUAUUCAGUCGGGGUGGGUGCCCCCCGGGGAGGCGAUGGAAUAGAAUCGACCCGCGUUGAUAAACAGGUCGCGCUGUCUCUGAAUCGGCGGUGUGGGACAAAACUCGAUUGCUGGAUGGAUUCAGUCCGAGCCGGAAGCGCGGCGCGCGGACCGACCUAGGAGUAGAAGAGGGCGAGGCGUACCUGCUCUCCACGGAAGCCGGCGGCGAGGGCGCCGCCAAUCUGGCCGGAGCUAAAAGUUUCCCGCCGGCCGGCCGCCGUCGCCGUCACCGAUGCCGCGGAGACUACGCCCGUGGGACCCAGAUCGUCCGCCCAAAGGGCACACCCGCAGCCGGCUGAUCGCCGCCGGACGUCGGGAAGCGGCGCCGUCGGAGGAGAGCGAGAGACAAGGGGAGGGGGAAGCGGUGGCAUGUGGAUGUGGGAUCGAUGAAGUAUGAGGCCAUAUUUCACUCGUCUGGGCUGGAGCCCAAGCUGCUCAAGGCCCAGUUCACGCCUGGGUUGUUCUUUUUUUUUUUUUCCCAAGGACUGGUUUUUUUGUGCUCAAAGUUGGUGGGGUUGUUAGUUUGGAAGUUGCUGACUAUGGCCUGGUUUAGUUUUCAAAUUUUUUCUUAAAAACAUCACAUCAAAUCUUAGGACAUGUGCAUAGAGCAUUAAAUAUAGAUAAAAAUAAAAACUAAUUCCACAGUUUGUAUGAAAAUUGCGAUACGAAUCUUUUGAGCCUAAUUAGUCCAUGAUUAGCUAAGUGCUACAGUAACUUACAUGUGCUAAUGAUGGCUUAAUUAGACUCAAAAGAUUCGUCUUGCGGUUUCCAUGCGAGUUAUGAAAUUAGUUUUUUCAUUCGUGACUGAAAACCCCUUCCAAUAUCCGGUCAAACAUCUGAUGUGACAUCCAAAAAUUUUCUUUUCGCGAACUAAGUAGGUUCUUCAACUUUUGCAGAAUACAGAGUUAAGCCUAGGUUUCUAGUAGUCAUUAGUUGUUCGUAGAUCUUCGUGGCCAUUAACCAUUACUCCUCUGUUACAUAGUAUAAAUUGUUUGAUAUUUUUCCUAAUCAAAAUUUUUAAGUUUGAUUAAUUUUUUUAAAAAACAAGAUAGUGGUAUUUUUAACACAAAACAAAUGUAUUAUCAAAAUAUAUUUAAUAUUACAUUUAAUGAAAUUAAUUCGACAUUAUAGAUAUUGCUAAAUUUUUCUAUAAAUUUGAUCAAACUUAACAAAGUUUGAUUAGCGACUAAAAAUAUGAAACAGUGGGAGUAGAAAUUUGAGUUAGUGGUGUGUAUUUUCUUUCUUAGAAAUGGAAACCAUCCCAUUCGAUGGCACGCUUUGUAGGAUCGUAAACGGUGCAAUUUUUUCGCAAAAAAAAAGACUUCUACUAUAUAUAUGAAUUUUUAAAGGAUGUUUAAAUCAAUCUUUUAGCUCUAUGAUAGUUAAUUAAUUCGUUUUGCAUAUUCGAAUAGUUAACACAAAAUCUUUCAACAUUCAGCUAUGAAGAAAAAAAAGAAAGACCCCAAUCUCAGACGUUCCAUGCAAUUCAUAAAUAUAUUCCAUCAAAAAACGGAUUCACAAACUAUCUUCAAUCCUCUAUCUAAAACAGGGACCAUAUUGACUACUCUUCCUAAUCUUUUCCUCCUACUAACUUUUUACAUGCUAUGAUACAGUAGAUGAGAUCUUAUACACAGAUACACAUGUACAAAUAUAUAUAGCUGGGUAUUUUUUUUCCGUUUCAUUUCAGAAGCAUGUAAUCAUCAUCGUCAUCAACAUCGCCGUCGCCGUCGAUCGUGGCCGAUGGGCCACAGAACAUGCCGCCCUGUCGCCGGAAAUGGAUGAGGGCGACGGGGAGCGUGCAGAGGAGGCUGGUGAUGCCGGUGCAGGAGAUGGCCUCCUCCACCGUGUACCUGGACCCGCUGAAGAAGAGCCGGUUCGUCACGAUCGCCCCCACCGCGCCGCCGCUCGCCGUCAUGCCCGACACCACGCCCAGCGACCUGCGUGUAUUCACGCACCCACCAAAUCAGCCAAAAACAUUUAAAAUGGGCACUGAAAAUAGGUUAGUGAAAUAAUUCAGCAAUUUUAUAAAAUUGUAUGAUUUGAGAAGGAGAUAUGUUUUUAACUUUUUAGCCGUCCCAGUAAGCCAUCUCCAUUAGACCUUACCCCCUACUUAAAAAAGACAAAUCCUAGAUAUAAAUUUGGAUAAGUAAUUACUCAGAAAUUUAUAGCUAGGAUCUGAUUCUUUUAGGGACUGAGGGUGUAGACGAUGGAUCCAUUCAUGCAUGGUAAAACAUGGGUACACGCAACAACAUUUUGAGCAUGCAUCGCUGUCGUCAAUUAUUUUCAACCUUCACGUUUUAGAAAACGUUGGUUAAUUUUGUUCAUCUCGGUCCACCAGAUUGAAUCCUCCGGUUGCUUUCUUCAAUAAUUAAGUGUAUAUAGUCGGAUGCUGUGGACGUCAAGAGUAGCGCUACCCACAGAUUCUGUUUUAGAUUCUCUAAGAUCCUACCAAUUGUUAUGGCUGGCCGACGUCCUUGUACUACUUGGUAGUUGGCCAGUGUGAAUCUGUGUGUGAUGACCUCUCGUGUAUCAGAGCCAUCAUCUUCUACUCGAAUGAAUCCAUAAUAUUUAAUAAAAGGGGCAAUUAAAAUAUAAUAAAACCUUAUUGGCGUAGCAAAUUAUGUGUGGUUGAAGCUAAAGUGUAAUUAAGAAGAUUUUUUAGUUAGUUAAUUAAUUUAAUUUAAUUACCUUUUGCAGACGAAGGGAACGAUGCCGAAGGUGAGGCCGGAGGCGGCCUGCACGAACGCCGCGCACGCCACCAUGACGGCCACGGUCGCCGCCAGCGACGGCGCCUCCGCGGCGCCCAUCCUGCCGACGAGCACACAGAGCGCGGCGCCGGCGCUCUGCACGGCCCACAGCGCCCACAGCCGCCCGCGCAUCCCGAACCGCCUCGCCACCUCGUCGGAGGCCACCCCUCCGGCCGGCCGCGCCACCGCGUUCAUCGCGCCGAAGCACGCCGCGGCGGCGCCCGCGGCCUCCAUGGGCAGCCGGAACCGCCUGCGGAAGAAGUCCGCCGCCACGUUCUCCAUGAUCAGCUCCACGCCGUAGCAGUGGCCGUAGGUGAGGCCCAGCAACCACGCUCGGUAGUCGCCGACGCCGCCCCGCACCACCGCCCAGAAGCUCCUCCUCCGCCCGCCGCCGCCGCCGGGGCAGCGACCACCGCCGCCGCCCGGGAGGUCGUAGGGGAAGGCGAGCACGGCGAGGCCCGUGGUGACGAGCAUGGCGCACGGGAGUAGGUAGGUGACGCGCCACGCGACGGUGACGGGGACGCCGAGGCGGAGCACGACGGCGUCGUAGGCGACCGGCAUGACCACCUGCGCGGCGGCGCUGCCGACGUUCGCCCACCCGGCGGCGACGGCGUUGGCGAGCCCCACGGCGGAGGGCGCGAAGAUCCGCGACAUCCAGUGCUGGUUGGCGACGAAGUUGGCGAGCGAGAGGCCAGCCACGAACCGGAGCGCGACGAACCCCGCGGGGGAGGACGCGAACACGGCGGCGAGCGCGAGCGCCAGCGCGCACACGAGGCUGGCGACCCCGGACGCGCGGCGCGGGCCGAGGAGGUCGCAGGCGGGGCCCAUGGCGAGCCUCCCCACCAGCGUCGCCGAGAGCGAGGCCACGGCGGCCGCCGAGGCGUCGGAGGGCGCGAGCACGAGCGCCGGGCGCAUCGCCGGGAGGAUGGGCGGCGCGGCGAAGGCGGCGAAGAAGCACGCGAAGAGGGACAUCCACGCCAGGUGGAACGCCUGCGUGUGCGGCCGCGACAGCGCCAUCGGCCGCAGCUCCGUCGCCCUCCCCUCGUCGUCGACGACGCCAUCGCCAUAGCCGCCGUAGUCGUAGUAGUAGCAGCCAUCUUCUUCUUCCACCAGCUUCGUCUUCUUCUCCAUGGCGACCAUGGAGAUGGAGGGGCAGAGCUAGCUCGAAUUCGUGGCGGAAAUUAAACGAUGGAAUCAAUUAACGAGCUGGCCAAUGAGGGGAGGGGUUUAGAUUUUGGCGCGAGCGGUGGUGGUGGUGGUGGGGUGGUGGCGCGAGCGGUUUAAAUACGAGGAGAUCGCGGGGAGGAGAGAGGCCACGUAUACGUAGGAGGGCGGUGGGGUUUCCAAGGUGGAAGCAAGUAGUAGCUAACAGGUGUCACUGGCAAGUGGGCCCUGGAGAGGGUGGGGCCCACAUGUCAGUCAGCAUGUCGUUCUAUGCAAGCGCGGUGCGAUUUGCAUCAACGAUCAUUGAUUAAUUGUAUCAAGAAGCUACUAAGCUGGGCGCCGCGUGCAUGGGCGUGUGGCUCCCGGGGGGCUUGAAAAGGGAUGAACGUUUAUACUAGUAGCCUAAUUACGUGAUGAACUGACGAUGAUGAUGACAAAUUAAUCAGGGCCGGACGAACGGGAGGUUUUUGAUUAAAUGAUCGACCGUGACUCGUCGUAUCGGUCGUGCUGCUAGCUGCCCAGGGUGUUGUACUGUUGUGUGUGCAUGUCUCAGCAUCUUUGAUAUGAUGUAGCGCGGUCGUGUGUGCACUGUCCAACGGUAUGGACCAUCUAAAAAAAAUCUCUGUUUGGUAUAGAGCAAGUGAUGAUCGAAUUAAUGGCUCCUUUUUCUUUCAAGGGAAAAAAAAUCUCUGUGUGCAAUAUCAUCAUGCAUCUCUCAUUCUCUCGUGUAUGGCCGUAUAGUCCUUAAAGUUUGUAUCUCAGUAUCAUGAGCGAAUGAUACUCAAAAAAAGAAAAAAAAUUGAAGAAGUAUCAUGAGCGAAUGACGCGGGAUGUCGAAAAUUUCAUUCUUCGCCAGCUCUUUUUAUUUUUUUGGGGGUUGUUUAAAAAAGCUGUUAAAAAUAAGACUGAAACUGAAAAUAAUUUAGGGCUCGCUUGAUUUGGAGAAAAAAAACAUAGAAAUUUUAGAGGAUUUCAAUCCUAUAGGAAAAAUUUUAUAUGAAUGCCUUUGAACCAAAUGAUUGAAUCUUAUCCAAUCUUUUAAAAUUCCUAUGGAAUGGACAAAUCCUAUAGAGAUUUUAGAGGAAAAUAGAAAGAUCUUAAAGCUCUUGGAAUUUCUUUGAGUCUAUCUCUCUUAUCCGAUUCCUGUGUUUUUUCAGCGGUCCAAUCAAACGGUUGUUAACGACCAAAUUUGGUAAAUUCUAUCACUAUUGGCAUCGGAGAUGAAGAUCAGAUCGAAGUGGAAUCCAAGAUGAAGAUCGUUGCGGAAACAGAGUAAGAAUCGGCUGCAGUCCAAAUCGGCUAAGGUCAGGUCGGCAGAGUUCGAGUCGGACGGGGCUAGCCGAUACAGCCGAUUCUGAUAAUAUGACUCGGUGUAUGUCAUCGGGUUCAAGUUGAUGUGCUUCAAGAUGAUUUCCACUCAUGGAUAGAGUCCUGGGAAGGCAAUUGUAUUUAUUAAUUAGGAUAUUCUAUGUGAUUUCCUUAGAGAUAUGUUUGGGCAAAAGUCUGCCGUAAAGACUUAUGAUAUCUUAGAGUUUGUUAGAGAUAAUAGUCGUGUCCAUUAUGGGCGUAUCUUGUAAUUCUCGGGUAUAAAUAGACCCGAGCCCUAUGUAAAAAAAGGACAACACAUCCAAUACAAUCUCGGCGCAUCGCCACCCUUUUUGCUUUACUUUUAUUUCGACGAGUUCGUGCUCUCGGGUUGAGCUGCAUCGGUUUCGAUCUUCAACAAGAGAUAAAACUUGUCAUGAUGACUUAUGUUCUCAGGAUUAGUGUCUCCAUCUUUAUGAUACUCUAAUGUUGUCUAUAUGAUUCGUCGAGUUAUCAUAUAUCUCACAUAAUCUUCGAUAAUAUCUUUAUCUAACCUAUAAUCGACUAACAUCUGUCAAUGGAAGGCAGCCGGUUAGGUUAGACAAUGACGUUAACUUAUGGCCGAUGAGUAUCAUAACCUUAUGGCCGAUGAAAGGGAAGAUCUGGUUCAAUCACGGCUACGAGCCCUUGCAAAGGUUACUAGGGAUAAGGAGCGAGUUGCCCGGCAUUAUAAUAAGAAAGUAGUACCCAAGGACUUUUUGGAAGGUGAACUUGUAUGGAAGUUGAUUCUGCUGAUUGGGACUCGGGAUAACAAAUUUGGCAAGUGGUCGCCGAAUUGGGAAGGACCGUUCCAAAUUCAUAAGGUGAUGUCUAAGGGAGCAUACAUGUUGCAAGGACUUGAUGGAGAAGUUUAUGGCCGAGCUCUAAAUGGAAAAUACUUGAAGAAAUAUUAUCCCAGUGUUUGGGUUAAUGCAUGAUCGGCUAGUGUUGCUGAUACAUCAUAACCGAUGUGUUUGCAUCGCUUUGAGAUGGCCGAUAUUGUUAUAUCGCCCUUAGUUGCUUUUCACUAUUGUCAUCGGUUGUGGUUUGCCGAUGUACAAAUGGCCGGUAUUGUUAUAUCGCCCUUAGUCGUUUCUAUAAUUUUGUCAAUAUUUUCAACAUUGUAAAAUUAGGGGGGCACAUACAUAGAAAAUUGCAACUUUUUGAAAAUUGCAAAUUUUUGAACAUUGCAAAUUUUUGAAAAUUUUUGAACAAGCUGGCACAAGGAUGGCACAGGGAUUGUAUUAACAGCAAAGUAAUUAGGGUGUUUUAGCCGAUUACAACAGUUUUCUACAGACUAUUACAUGGAAGUCACUGAGACAAGUAUCGUUGGAUAGCCGAUAUAGCCUUUUGCCUAAUCUGAUCUAUUUCUUCGAUAGCUUGGGCGUCUUGAGCAUCGGUUCCAGGAAUGACUUUCAAGGAUUUACUCAUCUCAGCAACGUUCUUGAUAGCUGAUUUUAGCCUUGCCUUCUGUUCUUCGACAGCUUGCGGGAGAUCAGCUAACUUUUUGUGCUCUAGAUCCAGUUCAGCAUUGCAUUCUUGAAGUUGUGCCAAGAGUUCAAUCUUGCGAGCUUCAAGCCGAUCAAUAUUAGAUUUGAUUGGGCCUUCAGAUAACUGAUCAAGCUUGGCUUUCUCUUCAUGAACAAGCUGCCGAUUGGUUUGGAUUGUAGCCUCGAUGUCCUUGCGCUCCCGGCGAUCGGCUAACAUCUGCCUGGCUUUCUCCAGUUUGAAUUGAUGCUACUCGAGGUAGACAGCUGGAGUAAGAGCAUCGACUAAUUCGUCCGGAAGAGAGGCUUGGAUAUCUACAAAUCUUGCCCGGAUUGAGCCACAGUUGGUCACCAGGUUAUCCAGUGACGCUCCUAGCCGAUGGGAGAUGUCUUCGAGUGUUUUUUCACAUCAUCAGACAGGAGAGCUGUUGCUUUGCUGGUGGUGUCUUCUUCUGUUUCAUCGAGGUAAUCUUUGAUGUCAAAGGAGAACAGAUCGGCUAAGACCUGCAAGAGAUAAUAUCAUGGAUGAUUAAGGAUCAAGAUAUGAUUGGCCGAUCUCAAAUUUAUGUUAAUAAAACUUACUGGAAUAGUAGGUGCAGCUAAUUGUUCCUCCUCUUCAACAUGAUGACUGCCUACAGCCGAUAGAGUGCGGCUGCCUGAUUCUGCCUGCACAAGAGGGGAAGAAGGAGGAGGAGGCUGCCAAAGGGAUAAAUGUUAGAUAUAAUCAGCCCAAGUCAGUUAAUGAGAUGAUAGAAGUAUCUUACUGGUGGAGCUGGUUUAGGGGCUGGAGUAACCGAUUUCUUCCUCACAGCAAUUUUCUUUCUCUAUAUUUAUUAAAAUUGUGAGGAAUCGGCUAUAAAGUAAAUGAUUGCAAAAGUGGACAGAGAAAGUUGCUUACCCUUGCUAAUUGAGCUGGAGCAGAAGGGAAUGGAGGAGCCUGCUUAGGUGAAGCCGAUGGUGUUCUUUCAGUAUCGCUUAUUUCGGCUGCAGCUUGGUCAAUGUCUUCCCCGAUUUCUUCUUCAUCCAGAGCUUGUUCGAUGGAUGGAUCUAGGGCGGGUAGAUCGUCAGCUGGCUUAGCUUUCUUUGUCUUAGCCUUCUUCUUCGGAGCCGGGGCUGAAGUAUCUGUAGCCGAUGAUCUGGUUCUCCGCUUCUUGUCGGCAUCGGCUGGUUCUCUGAUGAGCCCUUGAAGAAGUGCUGAAGUCUUGGGGGCAUUGAAGCUGAUGGUAGAAAGAGAUGGCCCACCUCCAUUUGAAAUUAGACCUAGAGCAUACUUAAUGACCUUGCCGCUAUUGCUCUGGCGAGGAGGAGAAGAUUCCGUUGUCUGCAAAACAGAAGAAAAGUUAGUCAAGGUUCAAAUCGGCUGAAUGACUAUUCAAGCAAGAUUGAAGAAAUGAAGAUUAACCUGAGGGAUAGCAUCAGGGAAUAAGUCUGUCAUGUACAUGGAAGCCGAUUGAUGGAACAGAUGUAGCUUCCACUCGCCCCACCAUCUGUCAAAUGCCCUGCUCCUGAGUCUUGCUAACUUUAUGUUUUCAAUGCUGCCUAAUGGGGGUCCAGGGAUGUUCAAUAGCCGAUCCAUCAUCAAGGUUGAAGAGAUAUUGCCUCUGCACUGGAUCUUGUCGGUAAAGUACAGGCCGAUUGGCAAUUGUCCCAUUCCGAGCUGUCUGGCCGAUGACAUUGGAUGAUAAAACUCGUAAGAGACCUGAAUAUUUCUCCCUUGAUGUAUGCCAACUGGGAGGAUACAUGGGCUGAUGGCAGUAGUGAAGAUUUCUCUAGAUUGCUGAAACUUUUCAUGAUUAAUGUCUUCAAACCUGAAAUCGGCUGGCAGUUCGAAAUCCAUUGAGUCGGCAUAGAAGAACCAAAUUCGGGCAUCUUUUUGGAACCCGUCAUAAAAGCUGAAGAACCAGUCCUUCAGAAGUUCAGCCGAUAACUUUGCUCCUGCAUCGGCUGGUGUAGAUGCAUAUUCUCCGUAUGACAUACAUCUGCGAUGGGUGCGUUUUUCUCCAUCAUCUUCCAUAAUCGGCUCCAACCUUGGAAAUUCAGCUUCUGUCACAGAUGGCCGAUUGACAACUUUCAUGACUACCAGGUUCAGCCAGGAUUGCAAGAGCCACCAUGGUCCACCUGUUCCAACCACUGAGCCGACAAUUAUCUUGGCCGAUGCGUUGUUUAAUAUCUGGUAUAGAUAGCCGAGAAGGAUUUUGCCUAAGGGAAAUUGUUUCUUCGUUACUAGGGCCUCGGCUAAGAAUUGCCAGUUGGUUGUAGGACCGUAGCUUGAUCUGCAAAAAAGGAAUUUUUCCAACCACAUCAGCAAAAAAGCUACGUGUUCUCUAGGAGUGACUGGCCCUUUGCCCAUAUAUGCUGUGAUAUAUCCUGACCAACCCCCAAUGCUCUUAGUUUUGAACUCAAAAGUAUUCUUGGUGUUCAGGUUCAUGGGGUUAGCUGAUGAGGUUACAUCUAGGCCAGUGAGCAUGAUAAUAUCCAGCAGCGUUGGGGUCAUCGGCCCUUGGUUGAAAAGAAAAGCAUUGAGAGUGUUGGACCAGAAAUAAGUUGCAGCAGACAUCAGGGGUUCAUCUUUGGCCGAAUUUGCUAUUGUGAGGGCUAGGGCUUGGCUGAUUCUGAUCUCAUCCCAAUGGGCUUGUUUGCUACCCGAUAUCCGCUUAUACCAUACAAACCAGCUUUUCUCCAAAGAAGGCCAGGAUUUGAAGGUGUUUUUCCAAUGGCUCGUGGUUGGAUUGGCCGACCUAAAAGGGGUUCUGUUGGUUUCGGCUAUGAUAAACUCAGUGGGGUCUAGAUUGUCGAUUGGACCAAGAAAGUAUUGUUGGUCAUGCAACAGACUAGGAACUGCAACAAGAUUGGAAAGAUGCUACAAGAAUAGAGAAGAAGAAAACAAGAUAAGGUGAGUGAAAAUCGGUCUGAUGAACGGAAAAGGGGAUCUAGCCGAUGGGGCUUACCUCAGCAUAUUCGGUUGAUGAUGCGGCGGUUGGAUUGGUGGAGGUCGACAUCGUCGCGGGUGGAGAUCUGGCCGGGAGUGGAAUCGCCUGGAAAUCGCCCUGUGCGUCGAGGAGGUCGCCGGAGAGAGAGAGGACGGGAUCUGUUUAAGUGGUGAAGACGGAAAUCACGGCGUAAAGAUUUUUUGGGGCAACGGUUAGUAUUUAAAGCAGAGCGAUAACGGUCAGAAAAACAACAAGUGCGAGUUUCUCUCAGAGUCGGUAUAUGGCAAAUCCGAAACAUUAUCCAAUAUUCCGGACUUGGGGGGCAUGUGUUAACGACCAAAUUUAGUAAAUUCUAUCACUAUUGGCAUCGGAGAUGAAGAUCAGAUCGAAGUGGAAUCCAAGAUGAAGAUAGUUGCGGAAACAGAGUAAGAAUCGGCUGCAGUCCAAAUCGGCUAAGGUCAGGUCGGCAGAGUUCUAGUCGGACGGGGCUAGCCAAUAUAGCCGAUUCCGAUAAUAUGACUCGGUGUAUGUCAUCGGGUUCAAGUUGAUGUGCUUCAAGAUGAUUGCCACGCAUGGAUAGAGUCCUGGGAAGGCAAUUGUAUUUAUUAAUUAGGAUAUUCUAUGUGAUUUCCUUAGAGAUAUGUUUGGGCAAAAGUCUGCCGUAAAGACUUAUGAUAUCUUAGAGUUUGUUAGAGAUAAUAGUCGUGUCCGUUAUGGGCGUAUCUUGUAAUUCUCGGGUAUAAAUAGACCCGAGCCCUAUGUAAAAAAAGGACAACACAUCCAAUACAAUCUCGGCGCAUCGCCACCCUUUUUGCUUUACUUUUAUUUCGACGAGUUCGUGCUCUCGGGUUGAGCUGCAUCGGUUUCGAUCUUCAACAAGAGAUAAAACUUGUCAUGACGACUUAUGUUCUCAGGAUUAGUGCCUCCAUCUUUAUGAUACUCUAAUGUUGUCUAUAUGAUUCGUCGAGUUAUCAUAUAUCUCACAUAAUCUUCGAUAAUAUCUUUAUCUAACCUAUAAUCGACUAACAUCUGUCAAUGGAAGGCAGCCGGUUAGGUUAGACAAUGACGUUAACUUAGAUUAUGUGAUAUAUCUACCACUCUACGAAACUUCCAACGGCUUGAUUGUCUAGAUAUUAUGUUUCUUUUCAUACUUAGUGCUGCAUCAGUUAAGUUUGAUCUACUAAGUCGUGCUUAGAACUACAAUCUCUAGCCUGCUUUCUGGUUGCCGAUUAGGGUAGUAUCGGAGUUUCAGCCGAUCUUAUCUGAUUUAACUACUUUUAUUCCAUAUGCUUAAUCUAUAUGUUAAAUCUGCCCUUUAUGUUAAGAUCUUAUCGCAUCUAAGUAUAUUAGACUUAUGUUUGAUAUAUUCUACUUGCUUUAACAUCUUAAUAUAGAGUGGUAUCGGAGUAUUAGCCGAUACAUGCUAGAUCCAUUUGAUCGGCUAUGCUAUAAAUGUAUAUAGUCCCACUAUUAAUAUAUAUUUCGAUCUAAGUGAUUUAUACUGUCUCGGCAAGGUGACCGAUCUGUCCCGAUCACUUGAUUUAAGUAUAUAUCGAUAUAAGGAUUAUAUAUCAUUAAUAUCUACAGCCGAUCGAGUAGAUUUAGUUCUAAUUUGUUUAUUGAUAUUUGCCGAUCGAUGUACGCAUGACAUCGGCUUGAAAUAAAUGAUAUGUCAUCGGCACCUAACCGAUCGGCUAUCAUUUAUAGGAUUGAUUGCGGUUUCUUUGUUCUAUUUCUUGUUGAUUGCAGGAUCAAAUCAACUGGCACGCUCAUACAUCCGAAGGCGAGUUUUGGACCUGCACUGGAGUUAAGCAGAUCUCCCAGGCCUCGUGUUUUCUGUCAACAACGGUCAUUCCUAUAUUUUGUAAACUUCGAUUUUACACUUUCAUUUCUAUUAGAAUUGUAUUUAUUUAUGCUUAGCUAAUGGUUAGAAUUAACUUUUUUUUUUUGCAGAUCAACUAGUACUGGCGCCUUGUGUAACUGAGGUACUUAGUUACUGUUGAUCUUUUUAGGCUGACGGAGACACAAAAUGGUUCCACCAUUUGGGAAUUGGGAGACUAGUAGCUAGGCAGAAGCUGCUUCAUUGCAGCAUAGUUAGCAAUUUAUAACUACUACAGAGCUCACUUGUGGUUCUUACGUUCAAGCCAGCUGUAAGUUUACAACCCGCUUCUCCUCUCUCUCCUCUCUUCUCUCUUUCACCUCAAAUAUUUAGCCGACUUACAGCCUUAUGUGAUGCUUGAUCUUACUUGUGUUUCACUGUACUUAUGCGUUGCCGUCGUUCUUUGAUUACGUAGGCAGCGGCUAGCUAGCCCAUGCAUGAUCCAGGAAUAAUAAAACACUAACGGGUAAUAGCUGCACUAAUAUGAUUGGUGGUUGCCUUGUCACCCUAGUUAACCUACUAAUCGCGCUCGCCUUCACCUAACCGUAACUUCCAGAACUCUCCCUUCUCUUGCGCAAGCACCAAACCUCGUCGUGUACCCCCGAUUAAACAUCAGCUAAUCACCCUUAAUUAACCUAAUUAACGUCGCCACGUAGGACCAGUGGGCCCCACGAAAGGGGACACGAGGACGGCUGCGGGGGAAGGAGGUGGGCCCAGGCGCGCGCGGAGCCACCAGCUCAGCAUCUGGGGGUGGGGCCCAUCAGCCCAUGGGCCCCAGAAUCAAGGGCCUUGGGUCUCUCCGGGAGGGCGAGGGGUUGGCGCUCGUGUCCCCGCGUUGCAGCUUCAGUAGCCGGAGGGGAUCCGAUUGGACGCCGAUAAAUUCCUGAAUCUCCCCGUGAAUCUCUUGCUGCCUCCUCGGAGCGUCGUUUAGGCAAGUUUAUACAGGAGAUUAGUGGCAAAAUGCUAUUGUCAAAUUCGUUUGUCAUAUGACAAAAGUUGACGAUGGGAAUGUGUUCGUAUCAUCACCAUUCAGAGGGGUUUGCUUAGUUUCAGCAGUACGAGAAAAACCGGGAAAUAGAGCUCUCGCGCCGCUCUCACGCGGGCGGCUCGGGAGCGAAACCCUAGCCGCCCGCGCCACCCCCUCCCAACGCCUCCAGCCACCUCGCCGCCGCCGGAGCCCGCCGCCGGAACCGUGCGACCAGCCGGGAAGGCGGCGGCGGGGAAAACGUACCGGCGGCGGAGCAUCCCCUUGGCGUGGGAGGCGGCGCGACGCACGCACGGCGGAAGGCGGCGGCCGGAGCGGCCGGCGGGGCUGAUCCGGUCGCGCCGGACGCGGAUCCGGCCUCCCCGGUGGAGGAUCUGGCCCCCCGGCGGCUAGAUCGGGAGAGGGGCGGCGGCGGCGCGGCAAGACGGCGGGCGGCCUCAAGCUCGCGGCGACGGCGACGCGGCAAGUCGGCGGGUGGCCCGAGCUCGCGGCGACGGUGGCGCGGCAAGACGGCGGGCAGCCUCGAGCUCCCGACGACGGCGGUGCGGCAAGACGGCAGGCGACCUCGUGCUUGCGGUGACGACGGCGCGACCUCGAGCUCGCGACAGCGGGGCGCGACUCGGCGGAAUAGCUCGCGGCGGCGGCGGCCGUGACAGCGCGGAGGAACAGCCCGACCGGCACGCUGCGAAGGCUGACCGGCCAGACGGCUGUUGGCGACGGCGGUGGCGGUCGUGCCCGCCGUGGUGCUCGUGGCAGUUGGUGGUGGCGUCGGCUGGCAACAGCUGCGGAGGACAUGGCGGCGGCGUCGAGCUAGCUGCUUGGUGGCGGAGGAUGACGGCGCAGCGGUUUGCGGAGGCGGAGGCUGGCGUCGGUGGUAGCGGCGACGGCGGCCGUGGCUGUGGACGGUGGCGACGUCGGCGGAUGCGGGUCGCUAGCGAGGUGGCUGGGCGUUCGGCAGCAGCGGUUGCGGUGGCGGUGACCGUGUCUGCGGUCACCGGAGGCAUGGCGGACUCGGAUGGCUAGCCGAGGGCGUGGCAGACGACUGCUUUUGGCUGGCACGGCAUCGUUUGGUGGAGGGGUCGGAGACCGGUUUGGCGCAGAGAGGUGCAGCCGAUGGCAGCGGAGGCUGGCUCGGCGCGAGAGGCGCGGGCGGCGGAGAUGGAGGCCGGCUUGGCGCGAGAGGCGCGGCCGAUGGAGGGAGGCCGGAAUGGCGCGAGAGGCGCGUCCGGUGGAGGAGGCCGGUUUGGCGUGAGUGGCGUGGCCGGCGGUGGAGGAGGCGACCUAGGUGUGAGGAGGAGCUGCCGAUAGGAGUAGCGCGGUCUUUGGCGCACGAAGGCUGGCCGGCGGGGGACGCCGGUGCAGGGGUUCCACAUGUCGGCAGAGCUUGUGUGGUGGUGGAGCAUCGGUGUGUCAGCUGUGGAUUCGCAGGUGGUGAGCGGCGGGUGAAAACCUAGUCUGGCCUCGGCCGGACCGACAACGAUGGUUCAUUCCCCCUCAUGAGGGCAUUGUCGUGCUGUCUCACCCCUCAAAGGUGGUUGCCGGGCGAAAGCCCAGUCUUGGCUCCUUUGAGCUCCGAUGGACGGCGGCGGCGGUUUGUCGCUUCUCUUCUUGAAGACGUCGUUUUGGCAUCCCCUAGGGGGGCGAUCUUGCCUGUGUCCCUUUGUUGGUCUAGUGGUGGUCGGUCAAGCUUAGCGGCGGCCGUUCCGGUGCUAGCCUUCUCCUAGGUUUGUGUGUUGGUGAUGUCGGUGUGUGGGUGGUGGUUUUUUUUCUUUUUCCUGGUUACGACCCUCUAGGGCUGUAAUCUUGUAAUUUUUUUCUGCUCUAUCAAUAAAACUUCGCACCAUCUCGUGCAAGUCGUUCAAAAAAAAGAGGGGUUUGCUUAGUCCUUCGUGUUCUUUUUUUUUUUACUGGGAGAUCCAAAGGAUCUACGUACCCUCGUGUAAACACUUAACAAUGAUACGUGGGCCAUCUUCGCUCUUUUGAAACUUGGAAGGCACGAACCGUGGUGAAAACCCUGUCUUAAUUCUCCUCGAGACCUCGACAGAUGAUAAUCUCAGUGCUCAUCGUUGUUUUUCUUCUUGGAAACAUCAACCAGGAGGCUCCACUACCAAAACUACUCUCAAACAACUUGUACAUGCUCUCUCUGGAUGUUUAUCCUCUUGCGACGAUGCCCCAGCUAAUGCAAGUUGGCUAUGUUGGUGAGCCUUGUGGGAGAGAGCGGCUUCAUUCUUCUUUCUCACCCUCUCUUCUCUAACCCCAAAGGUGUGAAUAGAAUUGAGUGCGAUGUUCGACUGUUAGGGUUUGAUUUUUGGGAGGUUUCCGUUGUAGCUUAUUUGUUGGUCUAGCGAUGGCCAGUCCAGUGCUAGCCUUUACCUGGUUCUGUGUAGGUGCUAUCGGUGCGUGGUGGUGUUUUUUUUUUCUUUCCUUAUCUACUAUCUUCCAGGGUGUUAGCCUUGUAAUUAUUUUCUAUUCUAUUCAAUCAAUCAUCGCAUUGUGGUCAUUAAAAAGAAUUACUGUGGUGAUACACCUAGUAAUUGAAAACUUCACUCCUAUCGUUUAACAAUUUAACUUGCUGCUUAUAAGCCACAACCGAAAUUUAAAUUUCAAAACUUAAUUUUGAGUUGCUUGGCGGGCAAUUAACAAUUACCUAAGGCUAGCCAAUAUUACAAUUUGUUUUUAAACCCACAUCAUGACUGGUUGCAAAUGCACUCCUCCAUGGGUAAGCUUCAUAGGUGACGGAACUCAAGACCGAUGCCGACGAGCAUCCGUGAUGGGCCCUAAAUUACCCCGUCAAAGGUGACCGUGUCAUCUUUGACGUGUUGGUUUCACGACAGGGUCAUCCAAGACGAUCUGUAGUUUAAUUGUACCUCAUCGGUGGGUUUUCGUUGAGAACCGUUUAAGGUGACUGUUGUCGGUUACACCUUGUGCCUAACACACAUGUGAGUGAUUUGUUAUCUUCUUUCCUAUAAGUGAGUAUCAAAUUUAGUUCUCGUUUAAUGAUUAUUUUUUUAUAAUUUAUUGAGCGAUAUAUGACUGGAGAAUCUUUGGUAACAAAUGUUUUCAGGCAUUUUCUUGAACCUUGGAUGAUGCAGGAGGGCAUGAAGACUUUAGAGUUUCAAACGGAUCAGAAGAGAAAUGCAACUGCUGUUAGAGAAGAUAAUAAUAAUAAUAAUAAUAAUAAUAAUAAUAAUAAUAAUAAUAAUAAUAAUAAUAAUAAUAAUAAUAAUAAUAAUAAUAAUAAUAAUAAUACUGUUGUUGUUAUACCUGAGUAACUACUUCAUUAUCGCUGGAGGAAACACUGAUUAAUCACCACAGACAUGAUCGAAGACUAAACUCGCCCGGUGAAUGACGCUAUAGAGGAGUGGGGUGAAUAUAGCGUGUCAAAGCUUUCCCACAAAAAUACUUCUUCAAAAACAUUAUGUAAAAAUAUUCUUUAGACUGUAGCUUAAUUAUGCCAGAUCUAGAAGAUCACUUUAAAAUACAUAUUACAGCGAUUAGAUCCGUUUUUUUCCGGCUAGGCUGUUAGGCGUUUCUGCUGGCGAUCGCCGCAAGUCCGGCCGGUGGCUGAUCAUCUUCGUCGGCUGUGAGCGGCUGGUGUUGCUCUUGUGCGGCCUCGGCGCCGGCGUCUUUCAGUGUUACCGUGCUCUAAAAAUUUAAGUAAAAUUUGAGGACUCCUUUUAGACAACGGAGAAUUUAAGAAAAUACUCCGGGCCACAUUCAAACAUUUCUUGUAUGUAUUUUAAUGUUUUCUAAUUUCUUUUUGAAUUUUAAUAAAUUAUAUUAUUCCUUUUAAAAAAUAAUUUUUAAUUCGGGAUAAAUUUAUCAGGACGUGACAGUUACGUGCCAUAUAGAACUCUGCUUUUAUAUUUACGACCCCUGCUUACACUUGCAGCCUGCAAACUUUAACCUUAAUUUUUUCAUUCAACUGAAUCCAUUAAUCAAUCAUUCUCACAUUUACAUGAAUGAUCAGUUAAUCGGCAAAUUAAUAGUUUAUAUAAAGAUGAGUCAAGCGCACCGCAAUAGACGGCCGCCACACUUGCACAGGGAGGCGAGGUCAAGGGGGCUCCGAGAUUAAAACUGCGACCCCACUUUGAGCCGCACUUUCUUCUUGUUAUUUUCUGUUCAAACGAUGUUAUCAAUGGGAUGUAGAACGUGAAACUAUCCCAAGUCACCAUGAUAUAUAGUCCUAAAAUAUAGCUACAAAUAGUACGGAUAGAUGGCCCUUGAACUGAUCUUUUGGCUAUGUGCACUGUUACAGUGCAGAGACCGGUAGUGUCCUAAAUCUAAUUCCACCACAGGAGAAGCUUGUCAAAGAUGUGAUAUGUCGACGACCCUCUCCUCACUACUCCAAAGGGGUGAACCUCACCGUGGAUGUCAACUGGUAGCAACACGUGAAAGAGCUUUUGAUACCGACGACAUCUCACACUAACACAAUUUUUUUUUUUGAAAACACAUCACAAUUUAUUUAAAGACAACGUGAAUUGAAUUUCCGAAUACAUCGCCCAGGAGAUACAUAAGAGUUGAACAAGCUAAGAGUUGAACAAACUUUAACAAGAGAGAGGUCAACUGAAGAAAGGAAACAAACUUCCUAAUGAAACUAAGCAGGAAUAGAGGAUCAAAUCGACAAGUUACUGCGGCGAUACCGUGACGGCUACAUCCUAGGGAACGGCACAUAUAAGACUAUCCCAACUACUUAACUAUACUAGGGGAGGGGGGACGACCCAUCUCCCUCCCGCCGCCGGUGACAAGGCUGUCGGAAUCGAUGAGGAAGAGGGGUCGACGAGAAAGCUUUACUAAGGCUGUGUUUAGUUUCACGCUAAAAUUAGAAGUUUGAUUAAAAUUGAAAGUUUGAAAAAAAAAGUUGGAAGUUUAUGUGUAUAGGAAAGUUUUGAUUUGAUGAAAAAGUUGGAAGUUUGAAGAAAAAACUUAACACAAAAUCUUAGAAGUGGUAUUGGACGGAGCUCAGGCAUCAAGCAAAAUACUGUUGACUAACUAAUUGGCCCUGCUUGUCAGCGUGUUGGGAGAAGCCACCGCUAUGGAUUGGAGGUCCAGGUUGAGCCUCGUUAGAGCAUCUCCAACAACCUACCCAAUCAUGCUCUCUAAUACCUAUAUAGCCAACUCUCUAAUUGAUUUAGCAAGUUAAACCCGUUGCUCACUCCAACAGCCUCUUCAUCCACCCUCUCUAUUCUGAGUGUAUGACAUUGGGACCCGUAUGUCAGUCUGUCACACCUUCCUCCCCCUUCACUUUCCUCCCAACUAUAUCACCGACGGUAGGCCACGAGGAGGGAAAAGCCAGCGAGGGGCGGCGCCGGCAAAGGGGCGGCGCGGAGGGGCGACGCCGGCGAAGUCGCGGCGGCGUCAUAUGCGCGGGCGGCGGCCUUGGCGGAGUCGUGGCGGCGUCGUAGGCGCGGGCGGCGGCCUCAGCGGAGUCGUGGCGGCGUCGUAGGCGCGGGCGUCGUCCUCGGCGGAGUCGCGGCGGCGUCGUAGGUAUGGGCGGAGGCCUCGGCGGAGUCGCGGCGGCGUCCCUCGUAGGCGCGGGCGGUGGCUACCUCCCCUUCCCCCGACCCCAGCCCGCCGCCAUCGCCUCGAGGUCGGCGGCGCGGAGUGCGCCGAUGGCGACGACGUUCUGCGGUCGGAGCUCCGGCUCGUCGUCGCCGUUGCCAUCGCCGUUGCCGUCGCCACCCCGCUCAAGAUCCCGGAGAGUCGAGGGGAAGACGAAGGGCGGCGAAGCCAGAAGGACGACGGCAGCGGCGGCGCCGGGAGGAGGACGGCAGAGGGAGCACCGGGAGGACGACGGCGGCGGGCAGGGAGGGAGCUGGGACGGGUGGGGAAAGGGUAAGAGAGAGGAGAGAGGGGUGGGACCCACACCAGAUGGCCAGCCGUCCUGGCUAGCCAACUUUGGCUUAGUGAGGUGGGGAAUUUAGCCAGCCGGAUAGCUUGGAGAGCCAUUUGGCUAGUCUGUUGGAGUAGAUUUUUUUGUCCAAAUUAGCUAAAAUUUAGCUUGGAGAGUCAUUUGGCUAGUCUCUUGGAGACGCUCUUAGUCGUUAGAUAUACUAGAGUCUGCGACACGCCCCUAUCUAGCACAUCUCCAACUUUUUUCCUUCAAACUUCAACUUUUCCGUUGGAACUUUCCUACACAUAUAAAUUUCUAACUUUUUCGUCACAUCGUUUCAAUUUCUUCAAAUUUUUAAUUUUAGCAUGGAACUACCUUAGUUAUUUAACAAAGUAAAAAAGUUAGCUAGUUGAUAUGACAUCGUUUUUUAAUAUAUAACAUCGUUGACUUUUUAAUAAACAUUUGACCGUUCGUCUUAUUAAACUUUUUUUUGCAAAUACAAAAAUAUUUAAGUCACGCUUAAAAAAUAUUUGAUGAUAAAUUCACAAUACACUUAAAUAAUUUUUUUAAUAAGACGAAUGGUCAAACAUAUCUUUAAAAAAAGUUAAUGGCGUAAUAUAUUAAAAAACGGAGAGAGUAACAAGUUUCCUCCUUGCGGAACCAAUCUAUACCGUACACGUACAGAAAAACUACACGGUAAAACAAAUACAGUAUCUGCUACAGCAAUCCUACUCGGCAUGCCUGGUUUCUCUCCCUUCUGAGAUGCUUGAUGGCUUGGAAUAUCUAGACCUCGAGGACAUUGCCGAUGGCGGCCCAACUCCGUGAAAGCUUCUCUGCCUCUUGUUGUACCCGCAAUGGCGUGUUUGCUCGCACCAACUGUUCCUGAUGUCUUCCAAGCCUAAUAAAUUCACUUUAGAUAUACCAUCACAGAGCCAAGUCGUCCCAACCAUAUGGACAGUGUGUGUGCUACACGAACGAGGAGCCUGAUGCACACCAACUUGUGUGGAUUCAUAGUAGCAUGUAUUCAUAGUACUACACGAACGAAUGUAGUACUGGAAGUGAUAUAUUUUAUUUAGAAUAUAAAAUAUAUCAUAUCCAAUACUAGAUUGGUUUUUUUACGAGACAAAGGGAGUACGCAUGUAUAUGGCCCGACCAGCAUGCAUGGCAGCAUCCAUUUCGAUCUUCCCAAUCUGCCUUUAAUUUCCUGCCUAAUUAAUUUAUGAGCAUUGGCAUCAAAAAGGAAAAUUGCUACCAUUAUCGAGUAGUUGCGCUAGCUGGGGGCCAGGAUCAACUACGAGUUCUGCAAUAACUUGGCAUUCCUAAAUCUCACACCCGCAAUAUUGGUUGCUCGACUUGUCGAUCAUGUGUAGUGCUCUAAAUUUCUCUUUCUUAUUAAUUAAAGGUUUCAGCUGGCAUCUUUCCACCAGCCUGUGAAAUAGUAUUGUAGAAUAAUUUUUUUGCUAUUAGAUAAAAAGCAUGUAAUAGGCAUUAAAAUAUUCUUGCUACUAGAUAAUAUACAUUUUAGAAGUGGUAAAUAGCUACUACCAAGCCAUAAACUUACUAGUAGGACAUAAACAAUUUAUGGUGAAUUCCACCUUGUUGUUUUAAUUGUAUCAAGGCUCAUCUUAUAUAUAGUUGGACUUUUCUUUUUUUUAAGAAAAAGAUAGCUUCCACCUUAUUUUCAACCUACAAGUAUACAUUGUAGAGCCUCUUCAAUCUAUUAAUGCUACCUGACACGAGUCACCUUAGCUUAUUGCAUCGUUGGAUAGUAAACAUUGAGAAUGGCCUAGAGAUGGAAGCCUCUCCGUUGAGGUAACAUGCGCGUGAGCCUUGAAGUAACAGAGAUAUUGUUAAUUAGCCUCUCUAUUGAGGUACCGAGCCACGCCUUAGCGCGCAUGCAUGACCAAUGAUCGCCUAACACAUGAAGGAUCACACUAGCUGGCAUGUCGAAUGCUCCUGAUGCCUUCCAAGCCCCAAUGCACCCAACCUAACUAUCUGUACAUACAUGUAUAUGUUGCAUCUAAUUUGGCAUGCGUAACUUGCACUCUCUACCUAGCAAAAAAGCCGCCCAUCUAGCAUAUAUAUAUGGGUCUUCUCUCUAAAAUUUUGAAGUAACCAUAGAUACCUAAUCAUUUAAUUUUUCGGUCUACUACUUUUUCCGUAUUUGUCAUUUUCUUUGGGUAAUUAUCCUUGUCAUCACACAAUCUAAUUAUUAAAUGUGUUUUUCUCUCUCUGAAAAGUCUGGAAAAUUUGAUACUCGAAACAGUCAACCAAUACAUUGCAGAUGGCCAGCAAUGCAUAGCAGGCAUCUAUUAUCUAUACUAGGUGAAACCCCACGUAUUGCUGCGGGAAUUUAGUAUGAUAACAACAAAAAAAAUAACGUGUAAGAUAUCUAGAUAAUAUCAGAUUAAGUAAAUUAAUGUGAUUUAUGAUAAUUUAAAUUUAAAUAGUAUGUAGAAUGGUGAUUCAAACGUAAAAAGUAAGAUGAUAUGAAUUUAUGAAAGAAGAAAAAUAGGGAGUUAGUUUGAACCGUAGACUAAUCAUCUAAAGACUAAAAACAAUUGAUGUGAUAUGACUUAAUUAGAGGAAAAAAAGGAGAAAGAUAAUUUGGACCAUAGAUUAAUCAUUUAAUCACUAACUAAGUGAGGAUGAACUAUAUAAAUAUAUAGGAUAUCAUAAAACAUAAUAGAUAUACAUUGAAACAUUAUGUGAAUUAUGUUGGAUGAUAAUUUAACAUGUUUGUAUUUGAAAAUCUCUUAAAUUAUAAAAACUAUAAAGAUAUAGCAUGUUUGUAUAAUAUUUAAAUGUGAUGAUUGUUAGUGGAUGAUGAUGUGUCAUCUUUGCAUGUUAAGCUUAAGGAAUUAGUGGGGGAUAACUUUAUAGUAAGAUAGGAUAUGCUUCGUGCUUGUGCGCUUCUUACUGCACAACAAACUUAAUUUUUCUCCAUCUGCAGCUUAAGCUUGUUUUCUCCUAAAGAUAGGACAGAGCAAACAAUUCUGUCCCAAAAAUUAAAGGAAUAUUUUGUUGAACCAGGUUGAGGCAAUAAGAGAUGCCAACCUUUUUUUUUAUUUGCCAUUAGGUUGAGGUGAGAAGAGAUGCCAACCUUUUUUCUUAUUUGCCAUUAUGUUAAAAAUAGUUAUAUUUUGAGACAGAAGGAGUAAUAGUAGUAUGUAGUUAACGCCUAGCACGUGGAAUACACUGGAACGGACAUUAACUUAGUUAACGCCUAGCGUCACGGUGUUCUCUCCUCUAUCGAAAUCUACCGCUCGCCACUAAUAAUAUUAUUUUCUAUAAAUGUUAGUUUGGAGCUAGAUGAUUCUUCGGCCAAAUACAAGUCAUCUCAUAAUUAUCGUUCAGUACACCAUGACAAUAAAUUAGUAAUAGGCAUGAGACAUCUGUCGGGAAAAAAAAUAGCUGAUGAAUUCCGUCAGUAAAGGUUGCUGACAAGCUAUAUGUUAGCACAUGAGUGCUUAAUUUGCGGACAGAUUCUAAGAUAGAGAAUUUAGGUCAUAGUAUUGUAAUCAUCGACAAAGAAGGGAAGGUGAUACUGCCUGCCGCAGACACAAACAUAGUACCAGAGGACCAAUAGUGGUUUCUACCCAAGCUCUGCUAGAAAAAGAGUCAAUCUAUUCUAUACCAUGAACAAACCGUGAGAUCUACGGUAUGUCUGUGACGCCCUUUAUCAAUGGCAUAUAAUGUAUUAUCUCUUUCAGUGGCCUCAACGAGAUGAACACCAGCAUUGCUUGCACCAUGCUCUGCUCAUUUGGAUGAACACCAUUCCGUGCAUGCACAACAGAGGAUUUACUCGGACAACCUAUAUACUGUCGCUCAGCAACGAUUCCCGACGCAUUUCAAGCCAAGAUAUAUAGCUAGACAGAUGCCACAGAACGAUGAUUAGCUCGCACGUGUACAUAGCGAUGAGCCGGAGGCGUUGAGCACACAGAUUUUGUAGAGCAGCAAUCAUAUGUAUAGAGCUUUUUUACGGUACAUUCUACCACUAGUAUAUACUACCAGUAUAUUUGAUCUAACGGUCUAAAAUUCAUCUGAUCUCCCUUCCAAUUAUCCUGUAGUAUAAAUUGAAAAGGAUAUAUUUGUCUUUUUAUCUAAAUGUGUGAGGGUAAUUUCGUGAUUUCACGUUUCAUCACUGGUCAGAUCCGAUCCAUGGGCGCCCCUUCGUGGAAGUCGUGCCCAGUCGUCUUCCUCUUGAGAGCAGCGAGCGCCGCCACGCCGCCGCCGUCAGCCACUAUCGUCGCCGCCGCCAUCGGGAAUCGAAUCGAUUUCCCUCCUCCUUUCCUCCUCUCGUGUCUUUUCCGACGACCCAAAAGCCUAGUUCUUGAGGGAGGCGACGGGCAGGCGGAGCCGCAGAAGGGCGCAUGCCACUGUGCCAUAGGCGUGCAGCUUCGGCAGCUCGCAGCGGCAAGGGCAGUCGGGCGGCGGCAGGUGGCAGCGGCAGGGCAGGGCUGAUGGGUGGUGAAGAGAUAAAUUUUUUUGAGAACUUCGGAACAUUCCAAAUUGAAAGGUUGAAAUUUAUUGUUGAAAUUGCAUUUGUGUAAUUGUUUGUGCCGUUUCUGCUGAUAUUGUAGUAUAUUGCACAAAAUGGUACACACACAAUUGUUCUGAGCAAACUAUUGAAAACACUUGCCAAAAUAAUAAAGGAACAAUCCAUUUUUUCAGUAAUACUAACUCCUUAUAUUAAAGGAAUUAGAACAAAGACAUUUAUUUCGGACAGUAUGUUGGGAGGUGUAGCAUGUAUUAGAUCUUCCUUUUAUCGUUCUUCUUGCGAGCGUCCCCCAAGAUUGCAGCUAACUUCCUUCUAAAAUUUUUUAUAUCUUCCUGCAGAAUUCAUAUAGGUAUUUAUUAGAUAGAAACAAUCAAUUGGAGAAAGUAAAGAUGAUGCAGAAAUAUUUAGUGCAUCUUACAUGCGUGUAUUCCUUCGACAACCUAUUGCCUUGACAGUGCUCCAUGUUUUUUAAUACAAACAGCCCACAUGAGACACUGGAAGAAUUGAAUUAUAUUAGACAAGUGAUAACAUACAUUUAGGUAGUGAAAAAAACUAUUAUUGUAGUGGCUGCAUAACAUACAGAUCUCCUUGUAAUGGCAAAUUCUGUACGACCGUGACUUCCCAGGAAGUAAUUUUUUGGUCAGGCCAUUGAGUUGGUAUGUGCUUUUCAUCUGGUUCCAACAUCUGAAAAUAUUGCUCUACUCCUUCUAGCUGUUAUGUGAGAAAAUGUCAUUACUGCGGUAUGUUGAUGUCCUUUUUGGUUUAUUUCUAAGUAAAAUACUUACAACUUUUCUUAGUUCCUUGUGUUGUGUGGAUGAAUUCGCCACGGAGUCAAGCACUUGGAUGAUGCGGCGUUUGGCGUGUAUGACUGCCUGGUACCAAUGGUUUUUCUUUUAUGUUCAUGGGGAGGAAAAUCUGUACAAAGAAAUCAUUUUUAGGAUAUAUUAGUAGUAUAGAGUUGUUGAAAAUUUCAUAGUAUUGUGGCAUAAAUAUUACCAUAUCAUGCUUUAGAUAUCUAUUUGCCGUUGCUUUAGCCAUUGCCCGAUCGAUGAUGUCUUUGGAAACGUAGUGUUCGCCAUCUCUUUGUAGCAACCUUGUUAUUAACGGUUUCUCUGGGAACACCGUACCUUCUGCCCUAGUCCUUGUACCUUCCUUCAUAUCUUUCUCACGUAGACAAGUAACGUAUGCAUCGAUUAUCUAAAAGUAGAGGAAAAUGCCAGGUUUUGAUUGUGCUAGUAGUUGCAUGAGACAAUAGUUUCACGGGUUAGUAAACUUACAUGAUCAUCCAAAUAGCUCAUGCUUGAUUCAGUCACCGGAUUAGUCAGAAUUUGCGUUGUUUUUUGGGAAAUUGAGACAUCAUCGAUAUGCACCACUAGUUGUGAUUCUGGUGCACUCAUUAUACUUUUAAUGGUUUCCUCAUCUUCUGCGGUGCACUUGAACUCUGCCAUUGAAGUUAAAUCUGUAAGUGAACCGCAACAGAAAAAUUAAGCGGAGUAGGAUGUGAUGAUAAUUAUAGGACUUUUACCAUUGGAUAUUAAAUUAUGUGCUUGCGCAUUCUUUGGUUUCUUCUUUGUAGCCCCUAAAUUGUAGACGAAAUCAGUAUUUGAUUUAAUUGUUGAUUUACGCAGUCUUCGUGUUGAUCCUGAAAGUGACUUGGCAAUGACAGGCGUUUGAGUUGGUGGGUUUGGUUUCUGCAAUACAAUUGGCAUGUUAAAAAUAAUUAGUAUUAAAUUUGACAGACGCGGAAGAAGUAUCCGCAUAAGAUGCUGUCUUACCUUUUUUUUUAAUUAUAUGUGUUUCUUUGUUGGAACUUUUGCAAACAUUUGGCUUAGAGUUCUUGGAAGUUGUUGAUAUUGUCUUUUCCUCUUUGAAUGCAGCUAUUAUGUUGGUGAGUGAUUGAAUUUGGUUAUGCAUGGACUGUUGAUUCUGUUUCAUCUCCUUCAUCUCCUUUCCUUGCUGUUCUAUCAGCAUGAUUAGUUUUCGGGUCAGCGUCUCAGUUUCUGGGCUAUCCUGCAUAAUAUGCGUUUGUUAAGUUAUGAGACAUAUGCUGUUGUAAUUCAAAUAAAUAGUAAUGAUGUAACCAUGGCUACUAUAGAUACAACCAUCGUCCACAUCAAGAUCAAGCCGUCCAAGUUCUGCAAUCCAGUUCGGCCACCUGCUACAGUGUCGACUUCAAACGGCCACCAAAUAUGCAUGCGAGCUCCAUUUUGGGUCCAUGAGUACUUGAUGGAAAGCUCUCGGAGUCAUCUUUCCAAUGGAUCUAGCUUCAUCGCCAAAUUCCAUCCCAGUCGGCCGAAAUCACAAAAAGAAGGUGUUGCGUCACUUAUAAUGGGCCUAUGGGCUUGUAACUUCGUCUGAGACCCCGGCCCAAGUGGGGCCUAUGUAGGGUGCGCCCCAACCAGGUGGAGCACGACCCUAGGGUCCCCUUAGGUCGUCCUCCCACCUCCUUAAAUAGUUAGGUACCCCUUUAGAGUUUCUUGGGUUUUGGUAGAUUAAAGUUUAGCCAUUGCUACUUGCUUGCAGCGCGCGUGUCGGCUAGACUGUCCGUCUGCUUGUUCUUCGGAACCCCAAGUUAUCAUUUGUAUUAAAUUCCUAUUUGCAAUAUCAGAUUGCUUUUAUCUUGUUCUUGCUUGUUUCUUCGAUUUGCUUGCAGGAAUAGGAUUGAUCUGCAUCGGUAAGAUCAACAACCCACGGAGAGGUGUAUCGAUCGCUAAGGCGCAACACAACGUCUCGUAUGGUUGUAGUCGGAUCGUCAACGUUUCUCCCAAAUCGUAGUUAUCACAACUCACCGAAAGAUCGGGCCAACAACAGCCUUGAGUGUCGAGAGGAACUCAGGGUCCAUCAGGUGGUAUCAGAGCUUUCGUUGCUUGGUGAGUUUUUAUCUACCCAUAACCAGAAAAAUAGCCAAAAAAAAUUGCAUCAUUUACCUAGCCAUAUUGUGCCAUUGCAUUGUUCAUUUUUCUUUUUGCUUUGUUGAGUUUUGCGUUACAUCGUUGAGUCGUGUUGCUGGUCUUAGCGUUUAGUCCGUUUAGAGUUUCGAGUUCUGGUCACGUUUAGUACCACAGUCGUUGUCGCCUCCGUGUCUCUGUUGUCGUCGGGACCUACAAAAACGGAAUCGGCUUGCUGUCACGGUUCUAUUUUUGUAGUUUUCAGAAUUUUUUAUCGGUCAGUUUUGGAGUUGCAUUUAGGAUUUGCUUGAGUUUCUGGUUUGCCCGUGAAUAGAUCGGCCUGUGCUUGUUGCCGGUGUAGAGAGGAGGAAUAAGAAUUUCCAAAUCUGUUUUUGGAAGUAUGAGAGUUUAAUCUGGAAACAAAUAGUAGAUCAGAUUGAUUGAAAAUUAGUUUCCCUUUUUCUCUCACCAUAUCCGGACUCCUAGGUAGUGCCGCAUCCUUCCUUUCCUCACCCACCACCACCCCGGGUCCGCGACCAGGCCGAGUCCGAGUGUCUCCUCUCGGUCACGGUUUCAAUCUAUACCGUGAUCUUGCAUAUUGCUUGGUGAAAAUUUUUCGAGUAUCGGAUUGAAAAUCCGUUUGCAAAAAUGGAAGCUACAGGACGAGAGGAUUCCAUUUUUGUAUAGUUCUAAUUUUGGGUUUGAACUUUUACAUUUGAGUCCCUGUAAAUUUUAUAUUUAUGUUUGAGUCCCUAUAAUCUUACAUUGAGGUCCUUGAAUCUGUUUUUGUAAAAUAAAAUCAAAAAAAGAAAGAAAAAAAAGGCAGAAAGGUGCAUAAAAAAAAGAAAAGAAAAAGAAAAGAAAAGCAGGAAAGACAAAAAAAAAGAGAAAGAAAGAAAGAAGAAAAGGAGAAAAUCAUUUUGUUAUUAUUGAGCUGAACUUCAUAUAUUAGAGUUGUGCAUGAGUUGUUCCUGGUGCUAUCUUGUGGUAUCGUUUGUGUCUAGGCUCACGUCUCUAGUACGUUCUAGCCUAGGACCAGCACGGUACUUGACUUUGAACAAUUAUUCAACUUUGCAUUAUCUGAUUUGAGCAUUUGCUAUUCCUUUGCUACAUAUUUAAGCCUACCUAGAGCUCCACAGAUUUGAUUGCAGCCGUACAGCAAGUGUUUGCCAAGGCAUCGAUACAUCCAAUCUCCAUUGGGGUGCUUGGUUGAGUCGGUGUAUGUCACCAUUCCGCUUGCAUUGGUAAGAUCUUGUAAGAGCUUGGUUAAAAGCUUGAGUGUGUGUGAUAUUUGAGCUGCCACUACCUAGUAGUUGAUAGGAGCGUGCAUAUUUUUGUGUGUUUCUUGUUUGCUACUAACCAUGGCAGGAUUGCGUAAGGGAAUACGAGAACAUCGACUUCUACACCUUCGACGAGAUAUGACGACUUCUCCACGUGAUGCAUAUGAGGUACAUGACUAUAAUUUUGAACAAGUUGCAUCUAAGUUACCAUUCUAUUAUGGAAAGUAUGAUUCUGUUGCAUAUAUUGAUUGGGAGCUAGCAGUAGACAAUGAAUUUGAUAUAUAUGAUUUUUCUGAUGCUCAAAUGAUUAAGGCUGCUAGUAAUAAGUUUACCUCUUCUGCAUUAUUUUGCUGGACUUAUGUUAGUAAUAAACCUAAAACUUGGGAUGAAUUGAAAACCAUGAUGAGAAAACGCUUUGUGACUUCUUAUUACAAAUGUACUCUUCGGGAGAAAUUAGAACAUCUGAAACAAGGUGAUAGAACUUUUAGGGAGUACAUUCAUGAAUUUAAGGUCUGUAUCAUCUACAGUGGUCUCAAAGAGUGCAAUGAAAAUACAAUGCGUAGAUUUUUCAAUGGGCUUAAUUCUGAAAUUCAGGUUUUGCUUGAUAAUGUGACAUAUAAUCAUAUUGGGCACCUAUUCAUGCUUGGUCGUAGCAUUGAGAGUCAGAUCAUAUCAACUCUGAUACCACCUGAUGGACCCUGAGUUCCUCUCGACACUCAAGGCUGUUGUUGGCCCGAUCUUUCGGUGAGUUGUGAUAACUAUGAUUUGGGAGAAACGUUGACGAUCCGACUACAACCGUACGAGACGUUGUGUUGCGCCUUAGCGAUCGAUACACCUCUCCGUGGGUUAUUGAUCUUGCCGGUGCAGAUCAACCCUAUUCUUGCAAGCAAAUCGAAGAAACAAGCAAGAACAAGAUAAAAGCAAUCUGAUAUUGCAAAUAGAAAUUUAAUACAAAUGAUAAGUUGGGGUUUCGAAGAACAAGCAUACGGACGGUCUAGCCGACACGCGCGCUGCAAGCAAGUAGUAAUGGCUAAACUUUAAUCUACCAAAACCCAAGAAACUCUAAAGGGGUACCUAACUAUUUAAGGAGGUGGGAGGAUGACCUAAGGGGACCCUAGGGUCAUGCUCCACCUGGUUGGGGCGCACCCCACAUGGGCCCCACUUGGGCCGGGGUCCCAGACGAAGUUACAAGCCCAUAGACCCAUUAUAGGUGACGCAACACCUUCUUUUUGUGAUUUCGGCCGACUGGGAUGGAAUUUGGUGAUGAAGCUAGAUCCAUUGGAAAGAUGACUCCGAGAGCUUUCCAUCAAGUACUCAUGGUCCCAAAAUGGAGCUCGCAUGCAUAUUUGGUGGCCGUUUAAAGUCGACACUGUAGCAGGUGGCCGAACUGGAUUGUAGAACUUGGACGGCUUGAUCUUGAUGUGGACGACGGUUGUAUCUAUAGUAGCCAUGGUCACAUCAAGUAACAAAAUUUUAGUUUUUUUGACUACCUUGUGUGAAGUGGCAUGUGUUGUGCUGUCGACGCGUUGUUCUGAUGUUUUUAUCUCGCUGUCACUUGCUAUGUCUUGGACAUUCUAUGAUGAGAUGACAGAUUUAAUGGAUAUUAAACCAUGCGUUGUGAUGUACAAUUGAAUGUAAGUACAGUUAAAUGAAAUGAUUAACUUAUUAGUAUGGAUGCAUGAUUCUGAUUGUUUGCUCUUCUCGCUGUCAUUUGUUACGUCUUGGACAUCCUACGAUGAAAUAUCAUAUUUAAUGGAUUUUAAACGUUGCGUAGUGAUGUAUAAUUGAAUUUAAGUACAGAUCAAUUAUUUGAUUACCUUAUCAGUAGGGAUACAUGAUUCUGAUUGUUUGCUCUCUUCGCUGUCUCUUGUUAUGUCUUGGACAUUCUAUGAUGAAAGGAUAUAUGUAAUGGAUAUUAAACCAUGUGUUGUGAUGUAUAAUUCAAAGUACAUAGAGAUGAAUAAAAUGAUUACCUUAUCUUUUCGGAUUUGUGAGGAUUUGGAGCAUUCUAUAGCAAGUGUGAUGUCGUCAACAAUCUAGUACAGAAUAACUCAUUGACGUUAGCUGGUCGAAAAUAGUGCUUUGGUAGAUGGUAAAAAAGUUAGCUUCCUGAGACUAGUCGUCUGUGUGCCCAUUUGAUGCUGUUCCCUUCCUUGUUACUUCAGGAUGACAAACUACUACAUGCAUGAUAUAAUGGAAAGCACAAGCAAGCUAAGACAUCAGCAGCAGGAGCAUAAGUAAAUUCACAUUUUGAAUUAAUAGGCUAGACUUAAGUGGGAAUAAAAUGAUUGUAUAUUACCUUCCCUUUACCAUUGUAUUAUCUUUUUUUUUGCCUUGUGCUUGUCCCAGUAUUGAAUAAGUGGUUUGUCGCGCAUAGUAUAAUCUAUGGUUGGAUCCAAAUUGUCAGCUCGUAGCUUCUCCCAGUACCAUAACUGCAACAAGUACAAUUGAGUAAAAACAACUUGUCUUUUGUUGGUACAAAAUAAUAAUUGUGCAGUUGCAUUACCUACAAAAGUGGUAGGUUUCCUUCAAGAUUGACUCCUUUUUUUAUUAAUUUUUUUUAAUGCUUUUCAUUAGGUGGUUUAAAGUCAAGCUUGUCCAGUUAAUUGCACUGAUUGCAUUGACAUCCUCUACAAAAUUUAGGUAUGCCAAGCUUACAUACCUUUGAGUAGUUGGGCACAGGAAAACACCGAUUGAUCACAAAGAGCACAAAACGGCGAAUGAAAUUGUCGUCAUAUAUACCUUUGUUUGUUUGAAAAUACUAUUGCAAAGAAGAUAAUUUUAUAUGUGCCCCUUGCUUAGAUGCUGUCUUGAAUUCAUCAAACAAGUCCAUAUUCUUGGUCUUUGGUGGUUCAAAUAUUUCUUCUCCUUGUGAUGGCAGGUCAAGCAAAUGCUCAGCGUCCCUACUGGAUAGACUCAGAUAGCUGCCUUGGAUGUUGAAUGCUUCAGCCUUUGUAUCAAAUUGGUUUGUAAUCCACAUGCACAAAAUACGGUGUACAUUUAUCCUAUGCAUCUUCAGCAAUCCUCCGAAGCCACAUUUGUGUACAGCUUCUCAUUGAGAAAUACUGAAGGUUGCGAUGAGGUCAUAAAGGGCAUGAAUAGAGCAUAUCUGUGUGCUCUGGUUGAAUGAAAACACAAUGAUUCAAUGAAAACACAAUGUAAUUGUACCGUAACGAUUUAUCGUAUGGUACCGAAUAAGUUGUGGAUGGAUAUUUACCUGUUUUUGGGGCUUAUUUUGUUUGAAAACCUGCUCUGGUUCGUAGAUUGUUGUAGUUUCAUCCAUUGCGGUUUGCUUCAUCAUAUCUUCUGCAGAGCAAUCCUUAGUAUUGGAAUUACACAGCAAUUACAUAAAGUGUAGCAUUCAGAUAAUCUUGGAACAAACCUAAGUCUUGUAGCUGACGGGCGAUCGAAACGUCGAGAUUGGAUUUGCUAAUGCAAACGAUUAGCUAUAUACAGUAGAGAGGGUAAUAAUCUGAUGGUUUUAUCACGUGUGUUGUGGUAAGCGGUUAUUUAAUUUUGGUUUGCUCGACGGAUAACCACCUGUUUGCUCGACCGGAUAACCACGUCAUUACCUUAUCCUCCCAUCCACGAUCGUGUUUGAGAGGAAAAAAAAGAAUCGGCAAUCCCCAGUCCCCACGGUGCGGCGUUAAUAGCGGCGACAUGCACUGCUGCGAGCCCUGCCAUGGGCGGCUUGCAGGGAGCAGUUAGUUAGCGAUGCCCGAUCUGAUUCGACCGGAUAACCACCUGUUAGCUCGACUGGAUAACGACGUGUUAGCCCGUCCGGAAAACGGAAUAAUAGGGGAUGGAAACGAGAUAUUUAAUCUCGAUAAUUAUUUUUUAGUUCGUAAAAAAAAACCGCUCCGCAAUAUUGUACGAGCGGUCGACCGGAAAACCAUGGUUUUCUAAAAUCGACCGGGUUCGGACGGACGAGGAAUUAUUUUUUAGUUCAUACAAAAAAAACGCACCGCGAUAUUGCACGAGCGCUCGACGUGAAAUAUAUUGAAUUUUUAUAAUCGUCCCGGUCCGGACAGACCCGGACUUAAUAUUUGGUUAAAAAAAUCAUUCCAGUGUAACAUAUGCGCGCUCGACGUGAAAUAUAUUGAAUUUUUAUAACUGUCCCGGUCCGGAUAGAUCCGGACUUAAUAUUUGGUUAAAAAAAAUCAUUCCGCUAUAACAUAUGCAUGCUCGACGUGAAAUAUAUUGAAUUUUCAUAAUCGACCCGGUCCGGACAGACCCGGACUUAAUAUUUGGUUAAACAAAAUCAUUCCGCUGUAACAUAUGCUUGCUCGACGUGAAAUAUAUUGAGUUUUUAUAAUCAUCCCGGUCCGGACAGUCCUGGACUUAAUAUUUGGUUAAAAAAAAUCAUUCCGCUAUAACAUAUGCGCGCUCGACGUGAAAUAUAUUAUAAAUAAAACCGCUUCGCUAUAUUGUAGGAGCGCUCGACUGGAAAACCAUGGAUUUCUAAAAUCGACCCAGUCUGGACGGUCUCGGAAUUAUUAUUUUAUUUAUCAAAAAACCAAAAUAUGUCAGUGGCCCAAUAACACAUGUGACAUAUCAGCCCACUAGGCCCAAUAACUCGUCACCACGUCAUGACCUUAUCCUCCCACCCAUGAUCAAGUUUGAGAGGGAAAAAAAAUAAUCGGCAACUCCCCAUUCCCCACGGUGCGGCGCUAAUAGCGACGACAUGCACUGCGCCGAGCCCUGCCAUGGGUGGCUUGCGGGUAGGAGUUAGUUCGCGAUGCCCGAUCUGAUUUGACAGAUAAAAAGGAUGGACCAGUACCCAUUUUCAUUCAUUAAACAGCUCCUUUCAUUCUCCACGAAUCUAAUCUUUCUCUUUCUCGAAGGUCACCGCCGUCGAAUCUCCGCAAGAUGUCUGAUGUGCAACAGGUGAGUGCAAGUAUUUGCUCGCUCAUUAAAGUGCAGAGUUCAAUAUGUGAAAUGUUAAGAUUUAUCGACAACAAUUAUAUGAUCAUGACUGUUGUUUGUUGCAUAACCUCGUGGAUAGGAUCAUGUAUGCUGUGUGACAUCAACGUAGCAAACUUUCUGUGCUGUCUCCUAAUCUAUAAAUAUUACUGUCGUACAAAGAAUUGUCAGCGCCGGCAAGGAGGAUGCAUACUACAUUGUUAGUUGUUACUGGUUGUUUCUUGAAAGUCAUACCCGAUUUGGAAUUGGAGUUUUUUUUUUCAGGCAUAAAUUAGUUUUACACAAUUUGAUAUUACACGCAAGGGUAUAACUGUUAAUAUUCAUGAAAUCAUCUCUAGGCUCUAACUGCGAUAUGAAGUGUGUAAUUUAAUCUGCUUAAUUGUCUUGGCCUCUUGGGUGGAAGAGAUCGGUGCUUGGCAGAACUUGAUGCUAGCUCAUCUGAUCCCUGGACAUGAUUCUUAGUACACAAGAUUAGACUGGAUGAGCAUCACCUAUCUCUUCGUUAACUUUUUUGUUUUUUUCCUUUUAUCUGUUCUUUCUGCAAGCACAUAUCCACUUCAAAGAUCAUCUUGUCUGAAAUGACAAUAGCUCUAAAUUUACAACAUGUUAUCCGUGACAGAAUGAACUACAAUUUUGUUUUCUGCCUCCUUAAAACUUAUAGAACAUAUUCAUCUGUAAUGGGUGGUCGGCACGCAAGGUGGUGCACGGAGGGUGGGCUGUGGGUGGCGGUGCGGGACGUGGAGGCAGGAGCGGCGAACUCCGGGAGGGAGCCAGAGUUGUUAAUAAAUAAGAAGAAGAUGUGAGAGAGUAUAAUAGGUGGGUCCCACUAUUUUUUUUAAAGACAAUGCUAACUGGAUUGUCACGCGUACGUCACGUAGAACAAAAUCACGUUAGAUUGGAUCGAGGGGGUAAUUCGUCCGAUAUUGAAUGUUCAGGGUGAGCAAUGUAUGGUUUUCGCGUUAGGAGGGAAAUUCAUUCUUUUUCCUGUACAUAAUACUGACAUGCAUGCUUAUGAAGCAUCGAUCUCUUUUUCAUAAGUACUCUCUUCAGCACACAAAUAAUUAAUUUCAAAAACCAAAAAUUUCGUAACACAAGUGCAUGUAGAUCGACAUAUAGCCUGACACAUGUAUGGAUGUAAUUAAGUAGGUUAGGGAUGUGGGGGGUUCUCAUAUAUGAGCCCUAUUAACCCCCUAUUAAACCCCUCCGGUACUGUUCGACUUUAAUUUCCUUGCUCUCUUUUUUUUUAAUGCAGCAAAAUCUUGAUUCAUUAUUUGAUAGAUCAUUUUAUGUACCCCACUUUAUGUCCAUUUACAUACAAUCAUCGCCCAAUUUUACUUAUGUAUCACUAUCUGUUUAAUUUAUGGCCCCAUGACAUAUUUGCAAAUGAAAAAUAACUUAUGAAUAAAACUUUUAUAUACGUGUUCUUAGCGAUCUAAAAGCAAAGACUGAAAAAUAAACUUGGAUGAAAAAAAAUAUUAAAAUGAAUUUUAACUCCAAGUUUAAGGUUGAAUUCAAAUUUUAGCUUAUAAGCAUAAGCAUAAUUAAGAAAAAGGAUGAAGCUAUCAAUCAGUGGUCGUUACUGAUGAGGACGAUGAACAAAACAAAAUAAUAGUGCAGCUGAUCUCAGCUAGCUAACUAACAUUAGAUACUUAAUCGGGCGGACAUGGGAUGUGUGACACACACUACUGCAGAUUCUAUCCCUCGUGUAUUCAUCCUGCAGCCAACUGAUAUCGCUAAUUUGACAAUCAGGAAAAGCAUCGCCUCUAAGAGACAUAGGCUAGGAAACAUCAGGGUCUCCGUAGUAGUGAUAAUCAGAGCAUGCAGCGUGCAAUCGAAGACGCACACCAACAAUUUAGUAUGAGCUUUGCCUCCCAUAUGCACAAAUACCCAUCUCCUGAUGCCUCAUAAUCCUUAGCACACGAAUAGUUGUAAGGCCAUGGUAUAUAUGCAUGUUAAUUAGCAUUCGCGCUAGCUAUAUAAUUCUUCCACAAUACUAACUUUUAGCUAGCCCUUGUAGUCGUUCUAUCCGGAUCGAGAUAUAUAUAUAUAUAUAUAUAUAUACGCACCUCAACCAUCUAAAUAGGCUACUGCAUACAUAAAUAAGAAGGCCAAUUAAUUAAUAUGACCUACAAUGGUUGGGUAAAUUAAAAUAAAUCAAAUGGGUCCACGUACUAUUACACCCUGGUGCUACAUUAAUUAUUUACGUAGAGCAUGGCAAGUGCAUAUUCUUCAUAACUAUGUCGAAUCUGUACGUAUGGCAUAGUCAAAAAGAGCUUUAUUAUUGAUUUGAGACAAUGGAAACAUUUCACUUCAUUUGCUAAGAAAUAAUAUUGACAGACGAUGUGUGGUUUACAUUAAAUUGUUUUAGCUCUAGCCUCAGAGCUCAGAGGUGUACAAAUUCUUUACUACUCCCGUCCCGUAAUAUAGCAACCUAGUACUGGAUGUCACACUUUAUAGUAAAAUGAAUCUGGACAGAAAGCAUGUUCGGAUUCGUUGUACUAUAUAUAAAGUGUCACAUCCGAUAUUAGGUUGCUAUGGGACGGAGGGAGUACAACUUUGUUGAUGCAUGGAGGCGUGAACAUAUACUAUGACUAUGUUGAUUAAUCCACUGCAUGCACACAAAGAUGGACAGAAUUUUAAUAUCUAAUAAAAAAUUGUCAACGUGGUCAAUCUACAUGUUGGAAGGCUCGAAAUGUAAAAAAAAAAUGAAAUGAAAAUUUACAAUGCGCUGAGUUGUGUUGAUUCAGGGGCAAGGAAUCUUGUAACUAAUAGUGUGAAAGAGAAUCGACGUUACAGUGGAGCUAGCAUGACAAUUUGUUGCGUUAAUUGAUUCGACUCUAUCCAUCACUUUUUUUUUUGACGGGAAGGACUGUUGCCAGGGCUCUGUCCCGCAGUGUCUUUUCAUUAAAGAAGAAAAAAAAUAUUUACAUGUAGUUUAAUUUACAUAGGAGAUAAAAAUUACUAAGGUUUGUAACUAAUUAAAAACUAUUUGCUUUAACGGAUCUUUCAUUCUGCACAUUAUCCAUCACCUAAUUAAUUAAUGUUGUUCUGCUACUGCAUCCAUUUUCACUCAGUAGACCGCAUCGUUCUCAGUUUCUCACAUUAUUGCUUGACCAUCCGCCUUGUAAUUCACAGCAAUAUACAUUUCCAUCGAUCACAGCAAUACAUGUUCUUUUUUUUUCGCUAGACCAUUGACGGGAAUCCGGUCUAGAUUUUAUAAGAUCGAAGAAGGUUUGGUCAGAAAGUGUUAGACUAUAUUGUUUACAUGUAUUUAUCGAGUCUUAUCUCAUUUAGUCCCGGUUCCUUUUAUAUAUAUAUAUAUAUAUAUAUAUAUCCUCCUAAUUUUAUUGAUAUAAAUCGGUUGAGUGGUUACGGACGGGUCUUUAUGUGCAAAAAUACCAUGACCAAUACAACUGUGUUGAGUCAUUCCUACGCACAUGGUAUCAAAUUUGUUUCCACUUCUGCUCCACCACAAACCCUAACCCUACUCCAUUAGAGUUCCGAAGAAGCGCUGGAGUUGUUAGCCUUCUUCUCGUUCUAGUACCUCGGCGGAUGCUUCUUUUAAUAAAGUAAGUAUUCGAGAUCUUCUUAUAAUAUUUAAUUUUUUUGCUUUAGUGAGAUGAUUCCCGUUGUUGCGGGUUUAUCGCUUAGUUGCAUUAUUAAGUGCUAUAGUACUUGGACUCUAGAUAACGAAGAAAGUUCCUGCGCGAGGCUAGAGUAGUAAUCAAUAACUUAGGCGUGGUGUCUAGGUUAUUUUCUUUUGUUGUGUGCUCCAUGGAAAGUAGGGUGGUCAGCAGAUAGUGAUAGCUCUAUCUGUCCUUCGUAUCCCUCCACGUUGAGGUACAUCAUAGAGCUGUAAUCCGAACUCAGCUUGGCAAAUCAGGGGAGAGCCACUGCCCGAAGCAUUGAUCUGAUAGGGUUUUACCUUUAACUCAAGACUAGUAAAUUAAUCCAUAUGAAUUCUCUUUAACCUUAGCCUACUAUUAGUUGUUGUUUUUGAUAGAAUUCUGUUCUUAUGUAUACACAUGUCCCCUGUGAUUCGAUACCUUUAGAAUACUCUGAAGUGAAUGUGCUUGUGGAUUUAUCUGUGACCGUAUCAAAUACCACCGGUGUAUAAGCAUUCAUACGGACAAAAAGAGUGUCGAGGAUGCACUUCAAAUAUUUCACUGCAGAUGAACGAGAAGCAGCUUCAUGAGUAUAUAUUUCCAUCCUUCUUAAAUUUUUCGACGAGAAACAUAAAUGCAAGCAUGAGUCAUCACAAUUCCUUUGAAAAAAAAUUAACAGAGUAAACUUGUUUUUUUAUCAAAAAAAUUAACAGAGUAAACUUGUUUUUUUAUCAGUCCACUUGAUUGUUCAGUUUAGGAAUCAGCCCAGACGUCAUAUUGAAUUUGUUUUUUUUUCUAAUUUACCAAAAACAACAUUCCAUGUUCAUCGGAAUAUUUUCAAAUUGCAAAAUUUCAAUCUUUCUUGUUUCAUGAUUAUGCAUUAGGUUGUUAUUGCUGAAACAGCUAGCGAAAGAUCAGAAGCAAUUACCAGUCUAAUUAAGAUAUUGGUGGUAUUGAGUCCCAACUCACGGGUUCUUUAAUUUUACAAUCCAACUCCAUAUUUCAGCUCAAUAAUCUAUACAAAAUUCAGCCUACGUUUUUGACCCCAUCUUUAAAUUUUAUAUGGUAAAAGGAUAGACCAAUAACACAACCAUAAUGUUGCUGGCAGCACAAAUGCUAAGAACAUGCAUACAUGAAGAAUAUCUCAAUUUCUUGUUGACAGAAAUGAAAAAAAAAGAUUCAAUUGAUCUGUGGGUGACAUGACACCGGCUGUUCGUUUGGUAAGAAGACGCAGCACGACCUGAAACACAUCCACCCUAGUAGUAGAUGUCGGUCGACUCUGGUUUUGUAUCCUGCAUCAUGGCUUCCGACGGUGGAUAUCGGUUAGUUCGUCCUCGCGUACGUAUACAUAUAGGCAUGACCGCCACCACGUGGUGGUUCUGGGAAUCAAAAGCACUCCAAGCUACUCAAUCCCUUAUGGUUCCCGGUGCCUUCCAAACCUAUGGGGACAGGGGACAUAAGGGUUGCCUAUUACUGCAAUCCAUGCAAAGUUGGAGGGGGCAGAAAAGUAUGUUUCAAUUUGUUUCUCUAUUUUUUUUAUGCGUAAGAGUAUUUAUAAGCAUUCAUGCAAAAAAAAAAAGAGUGCCGAAUAAGUAGUUGCACUGUAAUAGUUGAUAGGAGAGUCUGCAGCUCCAUUAAUAUAUAUCGCUCACGCAUCUUGAUUCUUGCAAGAGAAACGUAAAAUAUCAUGGCUUGAGAGAAAAAGGGAUAGUGGCCCGCGCUUUACUGCGGGAUAUAUAUUAGAUAAUGGAUAAAUGAUGAAAUCAUUUGGAUCGAAAUAUUAUGAAAAUGAUGAUUUAGCAUGUGUAUGCUUAGUUUUAGAAUGAAGUAAUUGUAGAUAUAAUUACUAUAUGCUUGCAUGUUGAGUUUUAUGUGUUUAAUGGCUUGAUGUUGCAUGCUUGCAUAUAGGUUUUAGAAGUGCUAAUGAAUACUAUGCUUGCAUGUUGAGCUUUAGAUGUUUAGUGGGCAUUAGCUUUAUAAUAAGAAGAGAUAAGCCAUCAGCUAAUUUGUGUAUUUUGUUCAAUAAGUACGCUCAGCUCAUUGGGAUUUGUUAUCAGGGUAGUUUUUACAAUUAGGUACCACAUUUUUAUACAAAAUUUGUUACUCUUAGGUACAAGAUACUUUAAUAUACCAAAAUUUUUAUUACUAUAAAAUUUGGGUACUUUCAGAUACCCUAAAGAUCGCAAAAUUUCUCCAUUAAGACAACCGCACUUUCCUCCCUAAAUCGUUUGUAGGAGUAGUCUGCCCCCGGCUUCAAAGGGAACUCCAUCUUUGGAGCCCAUGGCCCAAAGGAAAACCCCACCCUAAACUCUAGGCGAGGUGAUUCGAAGGGAGAGUGUGCAGUUCGUCCCCAACCCUAUGGAGACAUGCUUUGGACAUCCUCCAUCCAUUAGCCCUUUGGAGCCAAUAAAUGAGGAAAGGUCUGACCAAUCCACAUCUGUUCAUCGCCAUAUACUAGGUUAUUCAAUUCUCACCUACUAAUUGCCCGACCUCGAAUCCUAGCCACACCAUGUCUCUGCGCAAUGCCUCAGGUUCUAGGAAAGCCAAGAUUCGACAGUCUCCACUAUCGGCCUAUUUAUUGGACUGGACUGCCUGACUUAAUUACUAUGAAGGCGAGAGAGCCCCUACCAGGGCCCACUUGUCAGUAGUAUCGGCAGGGACAAAUUGAUGUAGCCUACCAUGGGCACCUUAAUAGUAAUUUUUCAAGUACUUGGUUUGGCACUGUAAAAACCAAACCUUUUGCUCCUUCGAAUCCAAUACAAAUUUUACUCCUGGUUAAACUCUUGCACUUCUAGAUACUUAACGGUUGGACAAAAACUCGUUUAUUCCAACACUACCUAGCUAGAUGAACGUGUAUUUGUUUAUAUAUUAGCGACAAUCCAUAUGCAUGCACGGUAUGCCAGUGUGUGGCUGAUCAUACUGUUUAUUUGAUCCCACAACAUAUUGAUCUCUCAAUUGAUCGUUGAUAUCUCUCUGUACCUGCAUGUCUGUAUGUGUAAUGUGUUUAUCAACACGCAUGAACACAUAAGACACGCAAUAAUUAAAGGGUCAAGCUCAACAUUACGUGAUUAAUUAAGCAAAGACGGGCAGCCCUACCGUUGGCACGCCGGCUGCGGCCUCGAAGUGGAGCUAAAAUGGUACAUUCUGAUGAUCAUUAAUUGUCGAUGUCGUUAUCUCCCAAAAUUUAAGGAUAUGAGAAUCACCCAAAAUUUAAGGACAUUUACACACAUGAUAAACUAUCCAAUGUAUAGCAUAAUUUAUCUAUUGUAUAUACUUAAAAGUCCAUUAAACUUUCUACAAACGCUUUUAAGCCGCCGUGUGGGACUCCUACAAACAUUAUUAAGCCGUUAUGUGACGCUUUAAUAAAUUAGAAGAAAUCUAAAAAAAUUCUGAGGAAAAAGAAAAUUAUUUAACCAUUAGACGCCACGUGGGACUUCUACAAACGUUUUUAAGCUGCUAUGUGACGCUCUAAUAAAUUAAGAAAAUCUAAAAAAUUUCUGAGAAAAAAGAAAAUUAUCUAACCGUUAGAUUAAAUCCGUUCACCCUUUCCUCUUGGACCCACAGGUACGUACGUACCACCACAUCCUAUUCCUUCCCCUCCUCAUUCUUCUCUCUAUUAACGUUAUGCACCAUAAUUUGUUACUAUAAAAAUUAUUAGAUCUAUUUACGUGGAAAUUUAAUUUAUAUAUGAAAUGAUCUUGGUGACAUAAAUAACUAAUAAUUAUUUUUUAGCCUAUCUACACGUUUAAUUUUAAACUUACUAUAAACGCUCUCAAGCGCCACGUGGAAUUCCUACAAAAGCUCCUAAACCGCCACAUGACGCUCUAACAAAUAAGAAAAAAUCAUAGAAAUUGUAAGAAAAAAGAAAAGAUAUUUGACCCAUCGAUUUUCAUUUAAACUGAUUGCUCCAUUAUUAUCAACCAUUGGAUUGGAUUUAUCAAGUAAUCAACAAACGCACGCACCACUGGUGGAGAAACCCUUUGUAGUCCCGGUUCGUAACCCCCCUUUAGUCCCGGUUUCCAAACCGGGACUACCAAUCCGGGACUAAAGAUAUCUAUCUUUAGUCCCGGGUAAAAUAACCGGGACUAAAGAUCGAUCUUUAGUCCCCCAACCGGGACUAAAGAUCGAUCUUUAGUCCCGGUUGGUAACACCAACCGGGACGGCUGAGCCAUCUUUAGUCCCGGUUGGUAACACUAACCGGGACAUCCAUGUUGCUGACCUUUUUUUUUUGCAUGGCCCUGUUGCUGUAUGGUAUAUAUGUUUCAGUACAUAUAUGCAUAUAUAAUAUAUGCAUAUAUAUAUUAUAUUAUAUUUAUAUAUGUUUCAAUACAUAUGUACAUGCAUAAUAUAUAUGUAUUUAUACAUAUAUAUGUUAUGCAAAUGCAUAUGUAUAUAUAUAUAUAUAUAUAUAUAUAUAUAUAUAUAUAUAUAUAUAUAUAUAUAUAUAUAUAUAUAUAUAUAUAUAUAUAUAUAUAUAUAUAUAUAUAUAUGACCAAAAUAUAUUUACAUUAUAGAAAAUGUGUACACAUUCAUAUAGAAACAUAUGUAGUCAUGUAUUAAUUACAAUCCAUUAUAUGUCCUAGCUACCUACGAUUUCGACGUAGUAGUAGUCGCUAGCUCAGAAGCUAAGGACCUAUGAAUUGUGUUUCCGUCGUAGUAGAAUUCACCCUUGGGAUCAAGGAUUUGUUCGUUGAUGAAUCCCAUGAGUUGUUCUUGAACCGCCGCGAUAAAUUCCUUGUGCGUGGUCAGGUUAUCCCUCAUGCGAAUAAACUAUAUGAAUGUAUGAAAUUGAUUAGUAAUUAAACAAGAAAUCGAUACGUAAUGAAAUUUUGAAUUUAUUUGUACGUACAUUGAGCUCUCUUGUGGUGAUGAUUUGGUCUGCAAGGCAGUGGCAAUACUCGCACACGUAAUAGCCGCACAAGUUAGUUCCCUUCUUUUGCUUUGCGCACUACAAAUAAAUGACAAACAACGAGAGAUCUAAUUAAUAUACACUUGUAUGUAUUUGAAUCAGAGAAAUAUAAAUGUAGAGCAUGUGUACUCACAGGAAAUUUAAACUUCUGCCUAAGUCUUUCUCUCCAUUUGCCGCGGACCAAAUGACGGAACCGAUACCAAGCCCUACAUGGAGUUUAAAGCUAUGAUUCAUAGUAGCAAUUAACAUAACAAGAUUUUCUUAAUUAACAGAGGAACUUAUGACGGUACCUGUCUAUAAGUUCGAAAACCUUGUCAAGCAUAGACUCUUUUUUAUCCAUUGAGUCAUAUACGUUGACGGUGCAGGCCGACAGGUCGAAGAGUAAAAGCACCUAGUGGAAUCUGUAAUGUGCGUGGGAUGCAUUACAUAUGAAACACUUAGCAAGUUCGUACGGGAAUGAAAUUUGGUAUAGAAAGACAGUAAAAUUAAACUAACUCUGUGUUGUACGGCAACAGUAUGAACGUCUUGUAAUGCUGUGCCUUCAGGAGAUGGACGAGAUUGUCCUCUGUGGCUUGCGGAUAUUGGUCGAGCAUUGCGACGUUUACUUUCCGAGGGUCGAUGAAUCCAGUAUCGAAAACCCCCCGCCGUCGGGCCCUUUGAAUCUCCAUUCUACAACGAUAAAAGGGAGUAUAUUAUUUUCUAUAGUCUACUUAUAUACAAGGACCUAAUUAAUUAAAGGAGACGUAGUAAGAAAUCUAACUGAAUGAUAUACUUACAAAAUCCAGCAACUCAUAAUAGAGACAUCAAGGGCGUCCAGCUGGUAUAGUUCGUAGAUUCCCUUGAAAUUGAUCCAGAGAAUGUCAUCUCCUUGCAAGAAGUCCGUGUCCCUGAUCCUCGCUCCGAUCAUCUCUCUACCGGUGGCGCUCAUCUCCAUGUACAGCUGAUGGAACUUGUACAUUUGUGUGGGUAGGGACUGUAGCAGCUCAGGCUUGACAAGCGGUUUACCGAGUUCGUACAUGUAUUUCACUUCCGCCUUUUCGAUUGGUGCGACUCCUAGCAAUUGAUCCGUAGUUAGACCGGUGUCAGUAAUAAAUUCUUCUAUCGUCAUUUCUUUACCGGUCACCAACGGCUCGAUCUCCUGGUUUGGUUACUCUCCAAGCUGAGGGACUGGUUUGGACUUUCCAGAAGAUGCUUUCUUCAGCGUUCGCUCAUAGUCCGAUAGCUUAAUGGCCUCCUUGGCAGGUGCAGACAUACCCCUGAAGAAGUUCAUGACACUCGGGUCUAUAGGAAUCUUCUUUUCUGGACUUCGAGGCUUGAAUUGUCUCUUGACUUCUGAUGCCACGUAAGCGUCAAGCUCCUCAUGCGUACAAUCGUACCCUGGGUCCUUGUUCUUGGCGGCGUCAACUUUCGCCUUCUUCGUUGCCCUUGUGUGGGCAGGCGGUGGAGCUUGGGGAGCCCUUGACUUUGAAGGUGACGGAAGAGGAGCUUGCGGAGGAGUCGGUGUAGGAGCCCGAGGAGGAGUCGGUGCAGGAGCCUGAGGAGGAGUCAGUGCAGGAGCCUGAGGUGGAGACGGUGCUGGAGCAUGAGGAGGAGACGGUGCAGGAUCCUGAGGAGGAGAUGGCGGAGCCGGAGGAGAUGGUGCACGAGACGCCGCUUGUCGCCCAGGGAGGAUGAUGUACCGCCUGCGCCAUAGAAUAAUGGCAUGGCUUGUGUCUCGUAGAUGCGUCUCACCGUCUCCUCCAGGGUAAUCCAGCUCGAGAUCUUUGUACGCGCCUUCGACCAACUCAACUUCGACUUUGGAGUAUCCUGCUGGAAUCGGCCUGCAGUGGUAAGUACCUGAAGGGUCCGUUGGGAUGGCCAUGUCCGACGCCACCUUCAUGUGGUGAGAGGUUAUUUAUUAGUAAUCAACAUAUAUAAGCAGCAACUAGCGGAAUGGGCAAAUCUAAAAUAUAUAAACUACGAGCUUACCUUUAUUGAUAAGUUUUUGAAAGGAAUAUGCAGCUCACAUGGUGUCCGCUGAGUGAUGUCAUCAACGGGGCAGGUGGAUUCGUCCUGGGUUUGCGUGGCGUCCAUGCUCUGUGAUCCUACCUGCCCCGUUGAGGCGCAGCUGCUACGGUUUCCUGACGGGCUCACCAUUGCAGGAGAAAUGGUCGGCUGGGGAUCAUUGGACCGAUGUGCGGCCAUGCGUUCAUCAACCUUCCUUGCCACCUCCUCUUGCAUGCUGAACUCGUAGCUCGAUACCCUGAACUCAAGAUCUGCAAUCUUCGCCUCGGUAUCUCUCUUGCUACUCAUCCGACUCCUGUACGUGUGGAUGUCCUACUUGAACCCAAUCUUCCAAGGAAUCACCCCUUUCCCUCGUGUUUGUCCUGGAUGCUCUGGAGUCUGCAGGGCGAGUGACAGCUCGUCCCUCUCUCUAUCUGGUCGGAACGUGCCCUGAGAAGAGGCUUCCACUGCGUCUGUUAGUCGACACGCAGCCUCUCGUAUCUGAUCGCCGAAGACCAGUGAGCCAUCAGCUGGGUUGAGCGUUCCACCGUGAGCAUAGUACCAGAACUUCGAUCGUUCCGGCCAAUUAGUGGUGGCCGGUUCGAUACCCCUCUCAAGCAAGCUAGCCUCCAUCUCCUCCCACUUCGGCAUCGCGACGCUAUAGCCGCUUGACCCCAAGUGGUGAUGGUACUUCUUCUUGGCGGCAUUUUCUUUGUUUCUUUCCAUCAUCGCCUGCCCUUGUUCACCUGUCUUAUAUGCAACGAACUCGUCUCAGUGAUCCCUUAGCUUUGGGAAUGUGUCGAAGUUCGGUGUCUGCCCCUUCAGGAUAUAUUUCUUGUACAACUCUCCCUUGAAGCUCUGAAACUGUUCUGCCAUUUUCUUCAGAGUCCACCUUUUCACUUUGUUCUCUGUACCCGCGGGAAGGGUGAAUGUCUCGAGCAUUGUGGUCCACAGCAUCUCUUUCUCCGAAUCUGGCACAAAGCUCUCAUGAUCUCCGCGUGCCCUUGUUCUUCGCCAGUACACCGUACUGACAGGCACGUUAUCCCGCACAACCCAACCGCUGUGACAUACAUAGUUCUUGGCGGCUUUUGCCGGGCACUAGGUCGUCCAUCUUCUUCCACUUCCGUUAUGAUGUGCCGACCCUCAAGCUUCUUCGCGGCACCUCGUUGCCCACGUGCCCUCUUCUGUCCAACGGAGGGUUGACUUCCACUAGCCUCCUCCUCCUGGUUCCCCUCCACAUCCCUUUCCACGUGCCCCUCCUGGUUCCCCUCCGCAUCCCUCUCCACGUUCCCUUCCUCGUUCAAAUACUGGUUUGGAUCCUCGUUCCCCUCUUCUUCGUUCCAGUACUGGCUGCUUCCCUCCGCGAUUGAAUCGUACAAUAUCUGUUCAUCAUCGCGAUCAGCCAUCUGUUCAUACAGGAAACAUCUGCUAAGUCAUGAGACAUUUAUGUUUUAACAAUCUUAUAUUAAAACUCAAAUAAUCUUAUAUGCUAAGACUAAAAUAGUCAUGUAUGCUAAGUGUAACUGUCAUAUAUUAGAACCCUACACAAUCUUACAUGCUAAGUCUAAUUACAAAUCUAAUAAUCUUAUACUAAAACUCAAAUAGUGAUGAUAUAUGCUAAGUCUAGGUGACGUAUAUUAUAGGACCCUAGCUAGUCAAUAAUUAUAUACUAAGUCUAAUUACAAAUAUAAUAAUCUUAUAUUAAAACUCAAAUAAUCUUAUAUGCUAAGAUAAAAAUAGCCAUGUAUGCUAAGUGUAACUGUCGUAUAUUAGAACCCUACACAAUCUUACAUGCUAAGUCUAAUUACAAAUCUAAUAAUCUUAUACUAAAACUCAAAUAGUGAUAUAUAUGCUAAGUCUAGGUGACGUAUAUUAUAGGACCCUAGCUAGUCAAUAAUUAUAUACUAAGUCUAAUUACAAAUAUAAUAAUCUUAUAUUAAAACUCCAAUAAUCUUAUACUAAAACUCAAAUAGUCAUGUAUUCUAAGUGUAACUGUCGUAUAUUAGAACACUACACAAUCUUAUAUGCUAAUUAAGUCUAAUUACAAAUCUAAUAAUCUUAAUUGCAUUACAAAUAUAACAAUCAUAUAUAUAUAAUUACGUCACUUGCCUGGGCGAAUUCUUUCGAGGGCUAGCUCUACCACUCCGGCUUGAGGGACGACUCCGACAACGUCUUUUCUGCAAGAUACAAAAAUAUGUAUUAGGAUAAACGCGAAGUAACAUAUAUUGCAUUUAACGUUCACGUUUCGUUCACGAUAUCGUUCACGUUCGCGUUCUCGUUAAGGUCACGUUUCAUUCACCUACGUUUGUUCGUUCACGUUCAUUAACCUGCCUAUAAUUGCAUUUCACGUUCACGUUCGUCCGACAACGUUCUCAUUCACGUUCAUUCACCUUGUUCUCGUUCACAUUCGUUCUCUCGUUCUCAUUCACAUUCGUUGGCUCGUUCACGUUCGUUCGCUCGUUCUCAUUCACGUUCGUUGGCUCGUUCACGUUCGUUCGCUCGUUCUCGUUCACGUUCAUUCACCUUGUUCUCGUUCACGUUCAUUCGCUCGUUCACAUUCUCGGUGUGGCGGCAGCGGAGCGGCGGCGGGGCGGCGCGGCGGCGGCGUGGCGCCGCGCGCGGCAUCGGGCCGGCGCGUGGCGCGGCGGUGUGGCGCCACGCGCGGCAUCGGGCGUGGUGCGGCGGCGGCGUGCGGCGUCGUGGCGUCUCGUGGCGCAGCGUCGUUGUGGCGCGGCGUCGUGUCGUGACGAGGUCGGCGUCGGCGUCUGAAACUCGGCGGCUGGCGGCAACCGAGAGGGAGAGAGAGAGAUCAAGAUCGGAGAGAGAGAUCGAGAGGGAGGCGGCGCGCGACGGCUCUCACCCUAGAGAUGCGGCGGCGGCGGAGGAGGCAGAGGCGGCGGCGACGACGACGAGCGCGAGACGACAGCGAGAUACGGCGGCGGUGUCAGCGCGGGGAUGCCCUAGGCAAUGGCGGCGAAGGAGAAGCCGAGAGAGAUCGAUCGGGCAAAAACUUCUAAGUGUUGGUGGAGAAGACGAGGGCGCGCAUCGGGAAUAUAUAUAGCCCUAGAUCUUUAGUCCCAGUUGAUGAGAACAACCGGGAGUAAAGAUAUCUUUACUCCCGGUUGACUAAAGAAAAGAUCUUUAGUCCCGGUUGUUCUCAACAACCGGGACUAAAGAUAUCUUUACUCCCGGUUGUUCUCCUCAACCGGGACUAAAGAUCUUUUCCCGCUAUUUCCAAAUUCUUUUUAAACCCGGUUAGGGUUAAGAACCGGGACUACUAAUAAGCGCACUGAAUAUUAUUUUCCAUUACAUAUGUUUUUCUAAAAUAGAAGAUAAUGCAUUACAAUUAUUUAAAGUACAAAGAUUAAUGACAAUUACUUCGAAAAAUUAUUGUUGUCUGUAAUAAAUUAAGUGGAUAAAACGUAAUAAGCAAAUAUAUGAUUUAAAAUUAACAAAAAUUCUAAUAAUCAUAUAUACUUAGCAUAUGAAUGAUAUUAUUAAAUUGGUAAAAACUCUAAUUAACAUAUGUAUAUACAUACGGCAUGAUUUAAAAUUAAUAAAAAUUGUAAUCAUCAUAUAUACUUAGCAUAGGAAUUAUAUUAAAUUAAAUUGUGAAAAACUCUAAUUAACAUAUGUAAAUGCCACAUGCAUGAUUUAAAAAUUUUAAAAAUUCGAAUAGUCAUAUAUAAUUAGCAUAUGAAUGAUAGUAAAUUAAAUUGUGAAAAACUCUAAUUAACAUAUGUAAAUGCCACAUGCAUGAUUUGAAACUUUUAAAAAUUCUCUUGUCAAUUAUAAUUAGCAUAUGAAUGAUAGUAAAUUAAAUGUUAAAAACUCUAAUUAACAUAUGAAAUUGCCACCUGCGUGAUUUAAAACUUUUAAAAAUUGUAAGGAUCGCAUAUAACUAGCAUAUACAUGAUUUAAACUUGUUAAAACCUCUAAUAAUCGUGCGUAAUUAACAUAUGCCAUACAUCAAUUGAUUUAUAUGGAUAAUCAAUACAUCCAAAAUAGUUUACAUCGUGUACACAAUAAUUACGGCAAUACAUCGGCGGUGACGGUUGACCGCACGUACUUUCUCCUCACUAUUGUUCCCUCCUUGUGAUCGCUACGUGAGUAAGGGGUGUCUUCAUUUGAUAGGAGGAUGCUAGGGUCAAUCGUCACCGUGAAAGGGGGUUGCCCAUCCAACUGAUCGUAAUCCUCGUCAGUCUUGUCCUCAACUCCGACGAUUUUUCUUUUGCCUGGGAGAACCACGUGAUGCUUAGGCUCGUCAGGUCCUCUGCCCUUCUUUCCUUUGCUAGACAUGUCCUUCACGAAAAAGACUUGCGUUACAUCAUUGGCAAGGACAAAAGGUUCGUCCGAGUAUCCAACCUUGUUAUGGUCAACCGUUGUCAUCCCACUGUAAUCAAUCAUUACGCCUCCACCAGUCAACCUAACCCAUUGGCACCGGAACAGAGGGACCUUGAGAGGACCAUAGUCAAGUUCCCAUAUGUCCUCGAUGGCACCGUAAUACGUGCCAGUUGUUCCAUCGUGUCCCAUGGCAUCGACACGAACAGCACUGUUUUGGUUCGUGCUCAUCAUGUCUUGGGCUAUCGUGUAGAAUGUGUACCCAUUAAUCUCAUAUCCCUGGAAUGUCGCGAUCGACCCAGACGGUCCCCUCGCUAGGAAGGCAAGUUGUUGGUUGAUCGACUCGUUACCCAUGAGAUGUUGUCGUAUCCACGCGGGGAAAGUAUCAAUGUGAUGCCGUGUAAUACAUGCAUCGGACUUACCGAUGUUCCUGGCACGAACUAGAGCCAAGUGCUCCUCGAUGUAAGGAGCUACCAAUGAAGAUUGUUGCAAAACCGUGGAAUGGGCUUUACGAAAUAAAUUGUUGUCUACCGUCAUUAUUGCUUUCCUUCCGAGAGUUCCCUUUCCUCGUAGUCUCCCUUCAUGGCGUGAUUCAGGUACCCCGAUUGGGCGAAGAUCUUCGAUAAAUUCUACGCAAAAUUCGAUGACCUCCUCUGUUCCAUAACCCUUGGCGAUGCUUGCCUCUAGACGAGCACGGUUACGAACAUACUUCUUCAGAAUGCCCAUGUACCUCUCGAAAGGAAACAUGUUGUGUAGGUACACAGGUCCGAGAAUACUGAUCUCUUUCACAAGGUGACAAAGCAGAUGCGUCAUUAUAUUGAAAAAUGAAGGUGGAAAUAUCAACUCAAAACUGACGAGACAUUGCACCACAUCAUUCUGAAGGGCUUCUAAUCUAUCCGGAUCGAUGACCUUCUGCGAAAUUGUGUUCAUGAAUGCACAUAGCUUUGUUAUUGUUGCCCGGACAUUAUCUGGAAGGAUACCCCUUAUUACAACUGGUAGUAGUUGUGUCAUCAACACGUGACAGUCAUGAGACUUUAGGUUUGUGAACUUCUUCUCCUUCGUGCUUAUUAUUCGCUUGAUAUUCGUGGUGUAUCCAGACGGUACCUUUAUGCUCUCCAAGCAUUCAAACAUACUUUCCUUCUCUGCCUUGCUAAGAGUGUAGCUGGUUGGACUCAAGUAAUGGCUUCCUUUCUCCUUUGGUUCCGGGUGAAGGUCGCCGCGUUGUUCCAUAUGCUUCAGAUCAUUACGUGCUUCCAGUGUAUCUUUCGACUUUCCGUAUACACCUAGGAAGCCAAGAAGAUUUACGCAAAGGUUCUUAGUGAGGUGCAUCAUGUCGAUUGCGUGGCGUACGUCCAAGAAUUCCCAAUAGGGUAACUCCCAAAAUAUAGAGUUCUUUUUCCACAUCACCGCGUGACCAUCUGCGCUCUCUAUAGGCUGGCUUCCAGGCCCCUUUCCGAACACUACUUUAAGAUCUUUAACCAUAGCAAACACUGUUUUCCCGAUGCGAUGUUUAGGCUUCGUACGGUGGUCAGCCUUAUGUUUGAAGUGCUUGCCUUUCUUCCGUACCGGGUGGUUUGCUGCAAGGAAUCGACGAUGACCCAUGUAUACAACCUUCCUACAGUGCUUAAGAUACGUACUUUCUGUUUUAUCCAUACAGUGAGUGCAAGCCUUGUACCCCUUGUUGGACUGUCCGGAUAGGUUGCUAAGUGCAAGCCAAUCGUUGAUGGUUAUGAACAGUAGCGCUCGUAUGUUAAACUCCUCAUGUUUGUCCUCGUCCCACACGGGGACACCUUCCUUCUUCCACAACAGCUUAAGAUCUUCGACCAGUGGUCUUAGGUGCAUAUCGAUGUUGUUACCAGGUUGCUUGGGGCCUUGAAUAAUAAUCGGCAUCAUUAUGUACUUCCUCUUCAUGCAUAGCCAGGGGGGGAGGUUGUAGAUACACAUCGUAACGGGCCAAGUGCUAUGGCCACUGCUCAUCUCUCCAAAAGGAUUCAUGCCAUCCGUACUCAAACCAAACCGUAUGUUUCGUGCGUCCUUUCCAAAUUCUUUAAAUUUUCUGUCUAUGUUUCGCCACUGCGAACCAUCGGCGGGGUGUCUCAGCAUCCUGUCCUGUUGACGCUCUUCAGCGUGCCAUCGCAUCAUUCUAGCAUUCCCCUUGUUCCUGAACAAAAGCCUUAUCCGUGGUAUUAUAGGGAAAUACCACAUCACCUUAGCAGGAAUUAUCUUCUUUGUUAGCUGCCCGUCAACUUCUCCUGGAUCGUCUCAUCUAAUCUUGUAUCGUAGUGCUUUGCAAACAGGCCAUGCUUCUAGGUUCUCAUACUCCUCACCGUGAUAUAGGAUACAAUCAUUCGGACAUGCGUGAAUCUUCUGAACUUCCAGUCCUAGCGGGCAGACUAUCUUCUUAGCCUCGUACGUUGUCUCGGACAAUUUGUUUCCCUCCGGAAGAAUGUUCUUGACGAGUUUCAAUAAAUUGCCAAAUGCCUUGUUACUAACCCCAUUUUUUGCCUUCCAUUGCAAGAACUCCAGAGUGGUAUCCAACUUUUUGUGCCCCUGCUCGCAACCUGGGUACAACGAAGUUCUGUGGUCCUCUAACAUCUUGUCCAAUUUAUGGGCUCCCUUUUCACUUUCGCAGUCCUCCUUGGCGUCCUGCAACAUCUGACCAAGAUCAUCCGCAACGUCGUUACCAUCAGCAUCCCUUUCCUCCUCGCCCGUUUGAUUUCCUUCAAAUCCAACGUACUGAGCAAAGUCCGGAAUAUUGUCGUCUUCACUUCAUCUUCUUCCAUUUCAACACCUUGCUCUCCGUGGAAUGUCCAACAAUUAUAUCUUGGCAUGAACCCCGACUCAAACAAGUGGAAAUGAAUAGUCCUGGAUGCAGAAUACUCCUUCUGAUUCUUACACUUAUUGCAUGGACAACAAAUAAAACCCCUUUGCCUGUUAGCUUCGGCCACUCUCAAAAAAUAGUGCACGCCGUCAAUAAACUCUUUGGACCGCCGGUCAGCGUACAUCCAUUGCCGAUCCAUCUACAUGAGUCGAAAAAAAAUCGUACAAAAAUAAUUAUUCUUACAAUAAUGACAGUCAUGCAAUAAUUAUAAGAUAAUUACAAACUGUUUCAACAGUCAUACAAUAAUGACAUAUCUUUAUUCAUACAAAAAUCAUAAAAUAUUACACCAAAUAAUUCUUAUUUACUAUUUCUAAAGUUUUAAACUAAUUUUAAUGUGUUUUACUUCUUUUAAUUUUCAUUUUAGUUUGUUUUCUAGUAUUCAAGAUUAACUUUCAUUAUAGUUUUCCUUCUCAACUAUUUUAUAAAACCUUCUUUAGCAAAUCAACUAAAUUUCUAUAUAUUCUUUCUUCCCCACACAAAUUUUCUCCCUCAUCAACUUACAACUAAAUUUUGGAGACAAAAAAGUGUGCAAAACAUAGCUGCAAAUGUAAUAUGACAAAAAAAACAUUGGAGGAUGAAGUUGUAAACCUUUUAGGCACCUCCGAUUUGUAUGUAAUCACCGAAAUAAAUUCACUAGAAAUUUUGGCAUGACCUCCCCUCUUUUUUGAAGAAAUUUUGAAACUUGCUCGGGCAGCUGGAGGAGGAAGAAGACAUAUAUAUAGAGGUGGGACUUUAGUCCCGGUUGGUGUUACCAACCGGGGCUAAAGAUCCCCGAGAUCUUUAGUCCCGGUUGGUAUUACCAACCAGGAUUAAAGUUACGAUCUUUAGUCCCGGUUGGUGUUACCAACCGGGACUAAAAAUCCCGGGGGGCCUGACAGGCCCUGACAGCAUUUGAACCGGGACUAAAGAUCAAAUAUGCCCGUUACCCUUUUUAACCGGGACUAAAGAUCAUCUUUAGCCCCGGUUUUUAUUGCAUCCGGGACUAUUGUGGAAUUCGGCCGACCGACGAAAGAUGGUCUCCACCAGUGCACGCAAGAGAGUGGAAAAAAAAUAAGAUGCGUACCUAAAAUCAAACCGGCUAAUAAUAAGACAUGUAUGUACCUAUAAGCAAGACAUGUAAAAGAAAGAGUCCGAACCUCCCACCAGAUUUUUACUUUGUUUUAACACCUGUUCACUUUUCUUGAAAUUAUUUUUAUUAAUGAUGUAAAAGAUAAUUGUCAUAAAUAUUUUAUAGUAGAUUAGUGUAGAUUAUUUCUCUUUUCAAACACCGUACAAACGCACAUGUUAAUUAACCCAUCUCUUUAGAUAUACAUACUCACAUCCUAUUCAUAGGAGGGGAAAAAGUAAUGUUACUAUUCAUCAUCGAAAAAAUGGGAAAAUAACAUAAGUACUCCCUCUGAAAAGGAAUCAAUUGAAUAAAUCUAAACAAGUUAUCCGGAUUCAUCAGAGAUGGCUAUUCACCGAAAAAAACCAUACCUUCGUACAAUGAGAAAAAUAUUAAUCCUUCCCUCAUAAUUCUUAAAUAAAAAUAUAAAUAUUGCGCCAUGUGACACCAUCGAUUUUCAUUUAAAUCGGUGGACCCAUAUCCAUAUUAAGGCCUCCUCUGAAUAAAGCGAAAGUUUGCUACAGGACACCAAAAAAUAUGUAAUUAGCUAGGUGACACUGUAAGAACGUAUAUCUGCUAUGAGUAAAAAAAUGGUAAUUAGCUGCUGGACACUUGUGGCAUAUUUUGUUAUAUCCAAAUGAAAAGGAGAGAAACAAUCGUGAAAGUAUAUUUUGCCCCUUGCUACUAUGCGCGGCUCGCAUAUAUAUAGCUCUGACGCCGUGGUGGCCACGACAAGGGCGGCAGAGGGUAUGGCAGCGCAGCGCUACUGCGAGACCGACUGCGAUAGUCUGCGCUCUGUGGUGCCUGCUCGACAUGAACCAGGAGGUGUUCCAAGUUGUGCUCAUCCCAAGCAUGGUGUGUGGCAAAGCAUCGGUGCCGGCAUGGCCCUUGCACUGCAACGGUGACGAAGCAGGAACAACGCGGAGCCAUGGGCCCUGGCGCACUCCUUGAACCCCUCUCCCCUAGAGAGCCACCUCGCUAGCAGCGGGUGCAGUGGCAAUGUCGAAGGUGUAUGCGAGCCGGACUUAGUAAGCAGGGGCAAAAUCAUACUUUUGUGAUUGUUUUUCUCUCGAUUUGCUUUGGAUAUUAUAAAAUAAUGUCGCGGGUGUCCAACAGUUAAAUUAUUAAUUUUUCGCGGUACUAAAAUAAAAGAAAGUACUAAAAUAGCUCACCAAAAAUCAAAAUAUCCCACCUUAAUUUUUUACAAAACUGGUAGACCUAUUACUUAUAUCAUGUUAGACAUCUAACAACUUUCUAUCAACUUAAUUAAUUUUUCUCUUACCAUGUAUAUAGGAGGUAUUUACCAAAUUUGAUAUUUAUGCUUUUAUCAAUAAAUUAUCAUUUUAGGAGAUAAAUUAAUAAUCUUAAGAUGGUCAUAGCAUCUAAAUUAUAUAUAUGAUCUAUGAAGUCACGUCACGUGGCCAGUUGAACAACAUAUUGAUCAUACUAAGCACAUUGGUUACACUAAGAAAUCUUAGCAGUGAAACAACCAUAAUGUGGCCUCAACAAUAUAUAAGCCAAUUCUAGAUAUGAAUUAAAAGACCUUAUCCAUUUUUGUUUGGUACAACUUACUACGAUACAUUGUGAAUUCGUGAAAUUUAGCAUAUAACAAUCUAAAAAUGUGUAAUUAUUACAUGACGCCCCAGUUUUGUGGUAAUUUGCUAAAAAAAAUACUACGACCUCUUUUUUAAAUUUUCUUAAUUGGAACGAGAUAAUUUAUAAUGGAUGCCUUUACCCCAUGCCGAGUUGUAGGAUCAACCCACUUAUAUUUUCACCCUAAAAUACAGAGAUCAAAGCAUUGCAAAGAUGGUUCAUAGAGUGGAAUUCUCAAGAAAAAAUGAAGAUGAAAGGAAUGAAAAUUGAACAAAGUUUAUCUAAUUUUAAUUUUUUUUGUUGGGUUUAUAACCCAUUCUAAAUAGAAAUAUUCAAAAACUUUAGCAAGACUAAUAAAAUGAAUAUAUUUAAAAUUUCAAACAGAAUCUAACAAAAAAAAUUAGACAUUUAUAGGAAACACAUCUAUUAUUUCAACACAAAAUUUUCUCAUGAACUAAAAACUACACGGUUUAAAAUAAUUUUAGUUCAUAAUUUAUAUGUUGCAAGUAACCAGUGUUCAAAGCAUGUUAAAUAAAUUCAAUUUUAGUUUAUGAUAAAGUAAAAUAAUAUUUUUUAUAGAAAACCACCUACACAUGGACAUUCGUAAUAAAAUUUCACACAUGCCUACGCAUAUGCGUGGGCUACCUUCCUAGUUUUAAAGAAAAAGAAAAGGAGCAUGCAAAACUAUUCAAAUUGGGGGUUGACUCAACAUGAAUGAUUAACGGAAGGCUUUCCUUCCUAGCAAAUGAGUUCCCUUGUUUGGAAGGAAGGAAGGAAUGAUAGCCUAUAGAAAUGAUAGAGCCAUGGCAAAGAAUUGGCCAUUGGAAUGUAAGAAAAUCAGUUUGGUUACCGAUGUGCGACUGAUCGAGAGAAUUCAGCACUGGCAACACAUAGGGAGGCAACAGUGUGCAAUCAAGGAGGCUAGAAGAGCUUCGUAUUUUGCAUGCGGGUAUCAAAUUCUGCAUGCAUCUCUUAAGCCCUAGCAUAUGGUGUAAUGGAAAUAUCGAUGCACUCUGAUCAGCAUAACUUGAUAAUUUCACUGGAGUAUAAUUUUACUACAAAAGUCCUCACUUCCUUUCUAUCCGAAAUUCACGACAGAGAUUUGGUUUGUAGCUUCUAUUACACUCCGCUUGGUGAAACUGAAUAACAUAUUAACAUGUGUCCAUAUAUAUAUAUAUAUAUAUAUAUAUAUAUAUAUAUAUAUAUAUAGGGAAACUCGUAUAUGAAUCGAAGUUCAUAUGAACCAUAAAUCUUGACCGUUGAGGGUUCCAAGAUACGUGCGCAAGUGGCUAAGAGUUAGGAGAAUUGAGUUCAACUAGUAGGACUGUUCCUUUCUUAAUUACACUAGCAAACAGUUAUGGUGCUCACGCACAAGUAGUACAGAAAUGCUUUUUUUUUUCACACUUCAAGCACAGCCUUGUUUUGUCUUGUCACUCAUUCAUGCCAAUCUUAUAUUUUUGACCAACCUAGUCAGGAGAGUUGGGAAGACUAGCUGCGUACUAGCUUUUUUCCCUUGAUCCGACAUUCACUGUGCAAAACUAAUUUUAUAAAUUUAUUUGUAUAUUUGGGUAAGUAAACAUUGCUAAUUAGCUGAUCUAAUCAUUUUUUGCAUGUCAAGUGAUACUAUAUAAUCUCAAAAUUGGCUCUUUACCGGUGGUAUACUAGUAUUAUGGCGGGAUUACAUUACUUUUGUAAUUACAAUUAGCAUGACUAGAUUGGUUGGUUAGAAAGACAUAUACGCACCACACAAGUUGAUUGGCAGUUAAUGGAUACCAAAAUUGACCAAAGCAUAUAUCAAAAUCUAGGUACAUUAGUUGAUGGGCCACAUGCUUUUUUAUCUCACAGACAAUAUUUUCUCUAGACAUUAUUUUCUCUAGAUUAUAGAAAAAUAGAUUUAUGAUUAGCAUAUAUUUGUAGAAAUAUCAGUCAUGUAUUUUUUAUUUCAAUAAAUCCCAAGUGAUAUAUCAUUUUCAGACAUCACUUUAAAUGUCAUUUUCACAAAAUAUCAUGUUUGGGUGGUGAGUGGACAUUCAUCUUGAUAUAUUUUCUAAGCAGACUAUAACAAAAUGAGAUGUUAACAUAUAGAUGUAAAAAAAAUACCAGACAUGUGUUCUUUUAUUUUAAUACACGCCAAAGUGAUAUAGCGCAGUUAUAUAUAACUGAUAGACACAAUGACCAACUGACAAAAACUGGUACUCCCUCCGUUGUUUUUUAAUAGAUGACGCCGUUGACUUUUUCUCACAUGUUUGAAUAUUCGUCUUAUUCAAAAACUUUAUGCAAUUGUAUAAGAUAUAAAUCACACUUAAAGUACUAUGAGUGAUAAAACAACUCAUAAUAAAAUAAAUUAUAAUUACGUAAAAUUUUUGAAUAAGACGAAUGGUCAAACAUGUGAGAAAAAAUCAACGGCGUCAUCUAUUGAAAAACGGAGGUAGUAGUAUUUUAAAGCAUGCCCAUUUCAUCACCAAAUGUGAUUUAGUAUGCAUUCGAACUAGCUGUUAUGGCACGCGAGACGAUAUAAAUCAUUAGCGAUUGUAAGUUUUAAAAAUAGAUUUAUUUAAUUUUUUUAAAAAAACUUCUAUAUAGAAAUCUAUUACAAAGAAACAUACCGUUUUAGCAUAUUGAAAACGUACUCACAUUAAGUGAGAGAUUUAUUCAACAAAAACUCACUAACGUGCAAAGUGAAGUUGUGCAUGAGAAAAAGGAAUAUGAAGUUGGGAAACUUAAGAACACGUCCUAAAUCAUUUUUGCAAAGUGAUGUCCGAAAAUAAUAUUGCAAAAUGAUUUCAAUCACAGGCGUGUGACGUCGGCUUGGCUAGACACAAGAUAAAGUUUUGACCAAACAGGUGCUCCUGUACCAGCAUGGGACUUUGGUGUCAGGAUGUGGCCAUGUGGGUGCGGCAGUUGUACAGCUAUUACCAAGCAAAUCAGCAUGCAUAUAGCUCUCUAUAGGAAUGGAACGGAGUAGGUACAUCUUACACUUGCAUUAGACAUAAUAGAUCAAACACAUCCCUGUGCAAUGCGUACACGUGUCAGGCAUAUGAGUAAGGCGCAUAUGAACCGUGUCAAAAGUUUCAACUUUACGGCAAUAUCAAUCAACUAAAAGUCCUAUCUAUCAAUCCUUACAGCGGAUUUGUCGGGUACGAGAGUGGUUGAAUAAGUAUUGCAUGUGGAAGGAAGUAGACGAAAAAGAUUUUGGAUUCGAAAUAGGCGCAUUCGACUAAGUCGUACUUUGAAUCCAAUUUCAAGUUCGAUUAGAAGGAUAGAAAGGCCGCGAGGAUCGGAAAAGAAAAUUCAAAUCUUUUUAAUUGCUUCUCCUUUUUUGCUAUUUUCUUAUUAUUUAUAUAAUCCAUUCGAUUCUAUUUUUAGAAUACUAAAGUAUUUAAAAAAAGUAUUCUAUAAAAAAUCUUUUUUGGCAAACUCAAAAAUACAAUAGUCAAUAUUCGUUAUAAUAGAUAUACUUAAUUAUAACAUAAAAAUCUUAAGAUAUUUUUUGAAUAGAUCAAAUCGAAUAGAUAGAAAUAGUAAAUUUGAAUGGAGACACCUAUUCUAUGAUGGAUUUUAACUUACCCUCUAUUUUCGUGCCUUUAGUAGGCUUAGUAUUUCCGGCAAUUGCAAUGGCUUCUUUAUUUCUUUAUGUGCAGAAAAAUAAGAUUGUCUAGAACCGACGGGAACGAAUUUUCUCAAUGUAUUUCCACACAGGAUCAUAAUACGGAUCUUUUGUAGUGUAAGUAAUAUAAUAUGGUAUGUUAUGUGGCUCUUUCUACACACAAAUGCAAACCCGCUAUGGAUGGGGAUUAUGGAUGCGGAUAUAGGCUACGAGCAUAAAUGCAUGCAUAUGCGGAACCAGGUAUAGUGAGUUUUUUUAAGUGGAUCAACAAAUACUUUUUGAAUAGAAAGUCAAUAUAUCUAACCAAUUAUUUUACAGGAGUAUCUAGUUGGCGAAGGCGAUUUCAGAAUAAAAAAAGUAAAGUCAAAAUCAUUUAGCUUAUUCUCUCAAUUUCAAUCGACCGCUGUUAGUAUAUCUAAUAUGAAUUGGCGAUCAGAACACAUAUGGAUAGAACUUCUAAAAGGUUCUCGAAAAAGAGGUAAUUUUUUCUGGGCCUGUAUUCUUUUUCUAGGUUCACUAGGAUUCUUAGCGGUUGGAGCUUCCAGUUAUCUUGGUAAGAAUAUUAUAUCUGUACUUCCAUCUCAACAAAUUCUUUUUUUCCCACAGGGGGUCGUGAUGUCUUUCUACGGAAUCGCAGGCCUAUUCAUUAGUGCUUACUUGUGGUGCACUAUUUUGUGGAAUGUAGGCAGUGGUUAUGACCGAUUCGAUAAAAAAGAGGGGGUAGUGUGCAUUUUUCGUUGGGGAUUCCCUGGAAUAAAACGUCGUGUCUUCCUUCGAUUCCUUAUGCGGGAUAUCCAAUCAAUUAGAAUUCAGGUUAAAGAAUGUCUUUUUUCUCGUCAUAUCCUUUAUAUGGAAAUCCGUGGCCAGGGGGCCAUUCCCUUGACUCGUACUGAUGAGAAGUUUUUUACUCCACGAGAAAUUGAACAAAAAGCUGCCGAAUUGGCUUAUUUCUUGCGCAUACCAAUGGAAGUAUUUUGAGUACCAAUUGAAUUUUUUGAAAUGAAUUGAAUGAAGAAGAAUUGGAAGAAGAAAAGUUUUCUCAACACGAGGGAAAAGGUCCCUUCGAAAUUGCAUUAUUGUAAGGGGAUUUUGAGUAUUUAUCUAAAGGAAGGAACAAAUGAGGAUAAGAGAAAAUUGCUUCUAAUUUGUCCAAGUGGGAUAUAUGGAGUAAUAUUCUUCCAUUUUCAUCCGAAAGGACUUUUUUCUAUUUCUCUAUUCCACUCCAUCUAGAUCUAAGAAAGAACUCAAUGCAAUGAAAUUCUACUAUUAUAGAAAAAAGAGGAAUAGAUACAAGGUCUCAAACCUUGUUAUAGAAUUUUUCCUUCAAAGAAAAAGAAAUAUCAUAUAGAGUCAGCGAAUAAAGCGGAUUCAUUAACACCUCAAUUUACAGAUCAAAAAUGAAAAAAAAAAAAGAAAGCAUUGCCUUCUUUCCUAUAUCUUGUAUUUAUCGUACUUUUGCCUUGGGAAGUCUCUUUCUCUUUUAACAAAUGUCUGGAACUUUGGAUUAAGAAUUGGUGGAAUACCAGGCAAUCCCAAACUCUCUUAACUGCUAUUCAAGAGAAAAGAGUUCUAGAAAGAUUCAUGGAAUUAGAAGACCUUUUUAUCUUGGACGAAAUGAUAAAAGAGAAACCGAAUACACAUGUACAAAACCCCCCUAUAGGAAUACGCAAGGAAAUAAUACAAUUGGCCAAAAUAGAUAAUGAGAGUCAUCUCCAUAUCAUUUUGCAUUUCUCGACAAAUAUAAUCUGUUUGGCUAUUCUAAGUGGUUCUUUUUUUCUGGGUAAAGAGUAACUUGUUAUUUUGAAUUCUUGGAUUCAGGAAUUCUUCUAUAACUUAAAUGACUCAGUAAAAGCUUUUUUUAUUCUUUUAGUUACUGAUUUUUUUUGUUGGAUUUCACUCCACCCGCGGUUGGGAACUACUUAUUCGUUGGGUCUAUAACGAUCUUGGAUGGGUUCCUAACGAGCUAAUUUUCACUAUUUUUGUUUGUAGUUUUCCUAUGAUUCUAGAUACAUGUUUGAAAUUUUGGGUCUUUUUUUGUUUAAAGCGCCUAUCUCCUUCACUUGUAGUCAUUUAUCAUUCAAUUAGUGAAGCAUAAACUCAUUUGAUCUCCUGAUAUUAAUCAAAAUUAGCAUCCUUUUUUCCUUUAGAAAGAAAGCCUUUUUCCAUUUUAGCAAAAUUCUUUUUUUCUAUUUCUACCUGCUCAAGGUAUUCAUCAUUCCAGUACAACUAUUGAUAGAAUGACAACAGAUUCGUGUAUAGGGAACUAGAUUUUCCGGGAUCUAUGAUUGGACAUGGAAAAUAGAAAUACUUUUUCUUGGGUAAAGGAACAGAUGACUCGAUCGAUUUCUAUAUCGAUCAUGAUAUACGUAAUAACUCGGACAUCUAUUUCAAAUGCAUAUCCCAUUUUUGCGCAGCAAGGUUAUGAAAACCCACGAGAAGCAACUGGACGAAUUGUAUGUGCCAAUUGCCAUUUAGCGAAUAAGCCUGUGGAUAUUGAAGUUCCCCAAGCAGUGCUUCCCGAUACUGUAUUUGAAGCAGUUCUUCGAAUUCCUUAUGAUAUGCAACUGAAACAAGUUCUUGAUAAUGGGAAAAAGGGAGGGUUGAAUGUGGGUGCUGUUCUUAUUUUGCCCGAGGGAUUCGAAUUAGCGCCGCCCGACUGUAUUUCUCCUGAGUUGAAAGAAAAGAUAGGAAAUCUCUCUUUUCAGAGUUAUCGUCCCAAUAAAAAAAUAUUCUUGUGAUAGACCCGGUUCCCGGUAAGAAAUAUAGUGAAAUCAUCUUUCCCAUUCUUUCCCCCGACCCUGUUAUGAAGAAAGACGUUCACUUCUUAAAAUAUCCCAUAUAUGUGGGGGGAAACCGAGGAAGGGGACAGAUCUAUCCUGAUGGUAGCAAGAGUAACAAUACGGUCUAUAAUGCAACGUCAAUAGGUGUAGUAAGAAAAAUACUGCAUAAAGAAAAGGGGGAUAUGAAAUAUCCAUAGUCGAUGCAUCGGAUGGACGCCAAGUGAUUGAUCUUAUACCUCCCGGUCCAGAACUUCUUGUUUCAGAGGGGGAAUCGAUCAAGCUUGAUCAACCAUUAACAAGUAAUCCUAAUGUGGGAGGGUUUGGUCAGGGGGAUGCAGAAAUAGUGCUUCAGGUUCCAUUACGCGUUCAAGGCCUUUUGUUCUUCUUCGCAUCCGUUAUUUUGGCACAAGUUUUUUUGGUUCUCAAAAAGAAACAGUUUGAAAAGGUUCAAUUGUACGAAAUGAAUUUCUAGGUCCCGGGAUUUCUUAGCAUCAAGUUGGCAAAAAGCCGCGAUUUAUUGGCGAUUGCUAGAAUUCUCUAUGAUCCAUUUUGGAAAUCUUUUUUUAGUUUAGACUAUUUUUUGUUUGCGAGAUGUCUUGUCUGCAAUUCCUUAUUUCUAUCAUCUCAUGCAAAACGAGGAGAAUGCAAGGCAAGGGCGAGAACAAUAAAAGGAACAAAUCCUUUUAGGAGGGAUUGCUGGUCUUCUUAAUCCUCUAUUGGGCACAAGAAAAAGGCAAAAAGUCGAUUCUUCUUGUAUCGAAAUAUGAAUCUUUUUUCUUCCUAUUCGGCAAAGAUUACUAUUUCUUCUUUAUUUGGGUCUGUCUCUUGAACCUCUUUUGCUUAGGUUCAGGCAGGCGAUGUAGUGGACAAAAAGACGGAAAGAAAAUAUGGCGGGGGACAAAUUUUUUGUGACCAAAUAGAAUUGCUUGACUUGUUCAAUUAAGUUCAAUUUAGAACUUACAGAAAUUUUGCAAAAAAAAGGAUACUCUUCCAUUGAAGGCUGUUUUUUAUUUUUAGGCUAGUUGAGUAGUUUUAAUUAAGGUUUUAUUAGUUUAUUACUCUAAAUUAAAUCAAUGAUUUACAAGAGACUUCCUCCGGGGAAUAAAAUAUUGGAUCCUCGAUUGAUCCUUUCUUUCUCC